CUCAUCCUCAUCUUUCACAGAGAGAGAGUUUUUUCUCAAAUUUUGCGUUAAGUUUCCAAUUAAUAUCGGAUUGAAUUUCCGGUUCAUCUAGAGCUAAUAAAUUCCGGCGAGUCCGGAUUUCUCUUUGGCUUAGUCCGAUUAACUUUGUUUUUUGGUGUGUUAAUAAUCUUCCGAUUAACGGAUUCCUUUUGCUAGAGAUGUAUGUUUUCAGAUCCUUUUUCUUGUGUGAGUUUAAUCCUUCGCUAAUCCUUAGUUGAGUGAAGGAUUUUAUCAAGUUGGAGGAUUUAUUGAUCUUUUCAAGGUUUAAAGCAGAAGGUUUUUCGUUUUCGGAUCUCUAAUCUUCUUCUCUUUCUCCGGCGACUUAAAGUUGAUAUUGGAUCUAUUCUCUUUAAUCGUUAUGCUCGAUCUCUCUGUUUGGGGAGAAAUAAAUAUCUACCUCAAAGGUUAAGGCAGAGUUUCUCUUACAAAAUUAAGAUUCAUGUGUCGACUAACUUAUAGAUUUGGUUAAGGCAAUCUUGCUGUCAAAUCAUAUAAGUUUCUCGUUGGUUUAUCUCGGCGAUUUGGGGAAGAUUCAUCCAUUAUAUCUGGCGAAAUCUUAAGAGGAAGAUGUUGCAGUGGUGCAAUUUAGUGUUUAAGGAAUCGAAGUUCGCGGCAGCUGUCGGUGGUGUAGGAGAUCGGAAGUCUAUCGGAGUUUUCUUGAUGAGGGCAUACAACUACAAGCACCACCUAUACCAGCCGUGAGACAAGGACCAAAAACAAGGUCAGGAACUAGAUUCUUGCGUGAAGAGUUUAAUCAAGCCAUUGAAGCUUUAGUUAGCAUCCACAAGCACGAAGACUCUUUGUACCCAAGCUUUAAGGCCACAAUCCAAUAAAGGAGCCCGGAAGAGCCUAAUGAAGAAGAAGCCUAUCAUAUACAAGACGGCCCAAGAACUGAAUUGCCACUUCUCCGACCCAACAAGGAAGUGUCCCUAUUCAGCGUCAGCAUCACGCUAACUUAAGACCAUCCUAGCCGUCCAAUCUACCAAGGUAAGCUAAUGAAUACAAUAUCUACUUGCCUAACUUGGUUUUCUGUCUUUGGUUUGUUUUACAGGUUCUAUUCAUAGUUUUAAGUUUUAUAAUAUCUCUCUAGUUAUUGCACGAGUCUAUACUUGCUUCUUUAGAGUCCCAGAAUUUGUGUCAUUUAUUGUAUUUGUUUCAAGUCCCCAAGAAGGGCAAAGCUGCAUCAGACUCUCUUAUAAAGUCCCAUAUAAGCAGCCGUGUAUUUUUUACCUAAUAUCAAUAAAGAACGCACUUAUUCAAGCAAAGUCUUGUCCAUUGAAUUCAUUGAUUUCGUCCAGAGUUGGUGUUUGAUUCUUCUCUUAAGAGCUGGUGUUUGAUCCAUCUCUUGCCGGUCUUAUCAAAGCUCAUUCCAUAGAUCUUUGUGGCGACCAUCAUUCCACUGUGUGAAACACUUCCAUCCCAUCCCUUGACUUAAUCAGAGAGAGUUACAUAACCAGCUGAUCGAGUCCCAUCCACUUUCACUUUGAAUCCAUUUAUUAUCCUUGUUGAGAGAGUUAAACAACCAGCAACAAGGAGCCAUCACUAUCUAUAGGCCCGUGCCUAUAUCAUCUGGUAUCAGAGUCAAAAAGGUUCCAAACCAGAUUUUAUCCUUUCAUACCUUUCGGUUAUAUCUCUUUUGCAUCUUCGUUUUCUUGUCGCAUAAUUAUUCAAAAACCAAAACAAAGAGUUCUAUUCAAUUCGCAUACAUAGCAUAUCAUCUUGAGCAUUCAUCUACAUCUCUAGAAUCAUUUCCCUUAGCAUCUUUAAUAGCAUCAACUAGUUGCGGCUCAUUGUUAGAACAAGAAUCUGUCAAAGCCCUAGUUAGCCGAAAAAGGAAAGUCUUCAUAAUCACGUAUAAAAAAAAGGAAAGAGUUUACAUUUUACUCAUUGCCUCGUCGUUUUAUUUAGUAUCAACAAAAAAAAAGAGAAAGAAGAAAUUUCUUUAUACACAUUUAGUCGCAUCUUAGCUAUCUCCUAUUUCACUAGGGACUCUUUUGCACUUGAUCUUUUGUUUGCUCUUGUAUGCAGACAUCAGCCAUGGGAGACAACACCGCACAACUACCAGACGUCAUGCAACAGCUACUUGACGGUAUGUGGAGUGUUAGUGACCGUCUCAACCUCAUGGAGCAACAAUUGCCACCACCAGCUCAGCCCAACAAUAAAGGAAACCAACCGAGGGAGCAACCAAGGCAACAACAUGACAAUGGUGAAGAAUAAACCGAUGAAGACAUGCCAAGUCUCGAAGAUGACCUACCACCUGACCCAAACCCACGAUACGGCAGGCGAGACGAUCAUGGCCAAGGCCAACAUCAGCACCGUGGAAGAGAAAGAAGCCGAGAGUGAGAUAGAGAAGACGAGAGAUAUGGGGGCAAAGAUCUUAAGAUUACCCCACCCACCUUUGCUGGAAAGGUCAACCCCGAGGCUUACCUAAAUUCGGAAAGAAGAAUGGACCAUAUCUUUGAUUACUACUGACAGACCAUGCUCUCACAUGGUGGGACCGAUAGGUUUCUGAAAGACGAAGGCUAAGACGUGGGCAAAUCACAAAUUGGGAGGACAUGACGUUCCAUCUAAGAAAGAGGUAUGUGCCAGCUUAUUACUUUAGAGACUUACAGAAACGUUUUCCAAAAUUGUCUCAGGAGAAUAGAUCAGUAGAGGAUUACUACGAGGAGUUUGAGACUAUCAGAAACUGAUUGGAGCUUCAAGAGUCAGAGGAGACAUUGAUGGCCCAAUUUGUCGAUGGACUCCAAGAAAGAAUCGCAAGAAAGGUAGAGUGGCAGAGCUAUGAGCACAUGGAAGAUUUGCUGCACUUUGACAUCAAGUUGAGCAGCAUUUCAAGAAGAAAACAACCACUAACUGAAGGAAGUCUACUUGAACUCAACCCUUCUCUAAACCAAUGCACAAAGGUAAAUCCAUAGAAGUGGAAAAUCGGUUCAAGAAACCAGCUUCCAGACCAUCAAAGCCGGCUAAAAAUGAGCAAGGUAAGGCUCUUAUUCAAAGGUCUCGAGAUAUAACGUGUUUUUAAGUGUCAGGGAAAGGGCCACUUUGCAAAAGAAUGCCCGAAUCAAAGGGUAAUGGUGUUGAGAGAAAAGGGAGAGUAUGAGUCACAAGAUGAAGCCGAGUUAGAAGCCACUGAUUCAGAAGAAGAGAUAACCGAUUUUCCUGAGGUUGGGGAGAUGUUGGUGAUCAGAAGAUAUCUCGGUGCACUAUGUGAUCCCGAGACACUUCAAAGAGAAAACAUCUUUCAUACGAGAUGUAGCAUUGGGAACAAGGUAUGUAGCCUCAUUAUAGACGGUGGCUCUUGUACUAACGUGGUUUUGAAAAGACAAAGCACCCAAGUCCUUACCGUUUAAGAUGGCUCAAUGAUACCACGGAGGUGAGGAUUGCGGAGCAAGUUGUUGUACCAUUCAGUAUAGGAAAGUAUAGUGAUCAAGUUAAGUGUGACGUUGUACCCAUGCUAGCCGGUCACCUGCUCCUUGGGAGGCCAUGGCAGUUUGACAAAGAAACCGUGCAUAACAGUCGCACCAACUACUAUUCUUUCACUCACAACAACAAGAAGCACAACUUAGCCCCUGUCACGCCAUCAGAGGUUCGUGAAAUGCAACAGACCAUGAACAAAAGGAGAAAGCUAAGUAAAACCAAUUUAUUUGUCUCACCGAGUACAAUUCUUAAAAACCUUGAUCAUAAACAACCAGUAUUGCUCAUGAUCUUUAGAGGAAGUUUGUUUACAGAUAAUGAAGAAGGCUAGGAGCUUCCACACGAGGUAACUCAGCUACUGGACAAGUUCAAAGAUGUCUUCCCAUAAUAGAUACCACCUGGCCUCCCACCCAUAAGAGGCAUUGAGCAUCAAAUUGAUCUAGUACCGGGGGCACCCUUACCUAACCGAGCCGCAUAUAGGGUUAAUCCAACAGAGGCGAAGGAACUAGAGGCUCAAGUAUAGGAUUUGAUGUCUAAAGGUUACAUAAGAGAGAGCCUCAGCCCGUGUGCAGUGCCAGUCUUGUUGGUGCCAAAGAAGGACGACUCUUGGAGAAUGUGCGUGGACUGUAGAGCCAUUAACAACAUCACCAUCAAAUAUAGGCAUCCAAUUCCGAGACUAGACAACAUGUUGGACGAGUUAAGUGGAGUUACUAUCUUCUCAAAGGUGGAUCUAAAGAGUGGUUAUCAUCAGGUGAGAGUAAAGGAAGGAUAUGAGUAGAAAAUUGCCUUCAAGACCAAGUAGGGUCUGUACGAAUGGCUUGUGAUGCCUUUUGGUAUCACAAACGCCCCAAGUACCUUCAUGAGACUCAUGAACCACGCCUUGAGAGCAUACAUCUGUAAGUUUUUAGUGGUUUACUUCGAUGAUAUUCUAAUUUACACCCAAUGUUUGAAGGAUCAUAUUAAGCAUCUAGAGCAGGUUAUAGAGACGCUUAGAUUAGAGGGUUUAUAUGCAAAUCUUAAGAAAUGUAUCUUCUGCACUGAUCAAUUGGUGUUUUUAGGAUUUGUUGUAAGUUCUCAGGGCCUUAAAGUGGAUGAGGAGAAGAUUAAAUAAUGGCCCACACCAGCCACGGUUGGACAUGUUUGAAGCUUUCAUGGUUUGGCAAGUUUUUACAGGCGCUUUGUCAAGGAUUUCAGUACAAUAGCAGCCCCAUUGACAUCUGUGAUCAAGAAGAAUACUACUUUCACUUGGGGGCCAACUCAAGAAGCCGCAUUCAAUAAGCUGAAGGAGAGCCUCACAGAGGCACCGGUUUUAGUCCUUCCUAACUUUGAUAAAAUGUUUGAAGUUUAAUGUGAUGCAUCAGGUACCGGCAUAGGAGCUGUCUUAACUCAAGGAGCAAGACCAAUAGCUUAUUUCAGUGAGAAGUUAAGUGGGGCAACGCUCAACUAACCAACUUAUGAUAAAGAGCUCUAUGCUUUGGCGAGGUCACUAGAAACGUGGCAACACUAUCUGCUCCCAAAGGAGUUUAUCAUCCACACAGACCACAAGACCCUCAAGCACUUAAGAGGCCAGAUCACACUUAAGAAAAGGCAUGCACGGUGGUUAGAAUUCGUGGAGACCUUCCCAUAUGUGAUCAAGUACAAGAAGGGGCAGGAGAACAUUGUAGCCAAUGCACUUUCAAGGCGUUACACUCUCAUCUCUACAAUGGAAACCAAGAUCAUGGGGUUUGAACACAUCAAGGGAGGAUAUGAAUCUUAUCCCGACUUCUCAGAAGUCUACAAAGAAACUACAAAGGCCGCAUUUGGAGUAUUCUACCAACAAGAUAAGUUUCUAUUUAAGUAGAAACGGUUGUGCAUCCCACAAGGAUCCAUGAGGGAGUUGAUCACAAGAGAAGCUCAUGGAGGCGGGUUAAUGGGAUAUUUUGGCCGAGCUAAGACGCUGAGUGUACUGAUGGAGCACAUGCGAAGAGAUGUGGAGAAGCUAUGUGCCAAAUGCAUCAUUUGUCUUUGAGCUAAGUCCAGGUUACACCCUAACGGUUUACAUAUGCCUUUACAUAUUCCUAAUGCACCCUAGGUGGACAGUUCUAUGGAAUUUUUUCUAGGCUUUCCUAAGAUACACAACAAAGACUCCAUUUUUUAGUAGUAGACAGGUUCUCAAAGAUGGCGCACUUUAUACCAUGUAACAAGACCAAUGAUGCAACUCAAACAGCUGACCUCUUCUUUAAAGAAGUUGUGCGCCUACAUGGAGUCCCCAGAACCAUUGUUUCAGACCGAGUCACAAAGUUCCUCAGCCAUUUUUGGAAGUCACUGUGGAGAAAGCUUGGAACCAAACUCUUAUUCUCCACCACUUGUCAUCCUCAAACGGAUGGGCGAACCGAGGUAGUAAACCGUACACUCUCAACCUUAUUGUGGGCCACGGUUGGUAAGAAUCUCAAGAAUUGGUUAUCUUGUCUACCUUUCAUUGAAUUUACUUAUAACCGUUCCAAACACUCUGCUACUAACCAAUCUCCUUUUGAAGUUGUCUAUGGGUUCAACCCUCACACGCUUUUAGACCUUAUUAACUUGCCACCAGCCAUCUAUUUGAGCGCAGAAGGAGAAGCUAAGGCUGAUUUUGUGAAAAAGCUGCACCAAAAGGUUAAAGAGAGGCUGGAGAAAAAGAACAAGAAGGAAAAGGCAUGAAUUGACAAAGGACACAAGGAGAUCACCUUUGAACCAGGAGAGUGGGUGUGGUUGCACAUGAGGCAAGACAUGUUCCCACAGCAAAGAAAAUCCAAGCUUGCACCAAGGGGAGAUGGACCAUUCCGAGUCUUGGAGAAGAUCAACGACAAUGCAUAUAAGUUGGAGCUGCCAGGUGAGUUUAAUAUAUCUCCUACUUUCAAUGUUACUGAUUUAUCUCCUUAUGAUGCAGGUGAAACUGUUCUGAGGACAGAACCUUCUCAAGAGGGAGAAGAUGAUGAGGGCAUACAACUACAAGCACCACCUAUACCAGCCGUGAGACAAGGACCAAGAACAAUUACAGGAACUAGAGUCUUGCGUGAGGAGUUUAAUCAAGCCAUUGAAGCCUUACUUAGCAUCCACGAGCAAGAAGACUCUUUGUACCCAAGCUUUAAGGCCAUGGUCCAAGAAAGAAGCCCGGAAGAGCCUAAUGAAGAAGAAGCCUAUCUUAUACAAGACAGCCCAACAACUGAAUUGCCACUUCUCUGACCCAACAAGGAAGUGUCCCUAUUCAGCAUCAGCAUCACACCAACUUAAUACCAUCCUAGCCGUCCAAUCUACCAAGGUAAGCUAAUGAAUACAAUUAUCUACUUGCCUAACUUGGUUUUCUGUCUAUUUAUUUUACAGGUUCUAUUCAUAGUUUUAAGUUUUAGAAUAUUUCUCUAUUUAUUGCACGAGUCUGUACUUGCUUCUUUAGAGUCCCAGAAUUUUUGUCAUUAAUUGUAUUUGUUUCAAGUCCUCAAGAAGGGCAAAGCUGCAUCAGAUUCUUUUAUAAAGUCUCAUAUAAGCAGCCGUGUAUUUUUUCCCUAAUACCAAUAAAGAACGCACUUCUUCAAGCAAAGUCUUGUCCAUUGAAUUCAUUGAAUUCGUCCAGAGUUGGUGUUUGAUCCUUCUUUUAAGAGCUGGUGUUUGAUCCAUCUCUUGCCGGUCUUAUCAAAUCUCAUUCCAUAGAUCUUUGUGGCGACCAUCAUUCCACCGUGGGAAAUACUUCCAUCCCAUCCCUUGACUUAAUCAGAGAGAGUUACACAACCAGCUGAUCGAGUCCCAUCCACUUUCACUUCGUAUCCAUUUAUAUCCUUGUUGAGAGAGUUACAGAACUAGCAACAAGGACCUAUCAUUAUUUAUAAGCCCAUGCCUAUAUCAUUUCCACUUGAUUUUGAGGCGGUGCUGUUUGAGUUCCUUCAUCCACGACACGUGUUUGGUCUUUUGUUUAUGUUGUUACAUGUAUCAUUACACGUAUUUGUUGUAUUAUCUUGGGUUUUAUUGGGCUUCGACUUAAACCAUUGUAUCACAUGUACUUGCCCUUGAUGGGCUGUCCAUUUUAAUGGAAUGGUGACAAAAAAAAAAGUCUGAUGGUUUAAAAUUAACGGCGAAAGCUGUAAAAUCCUUAAAAUUCCUAACAAACAUCACGCCAAUCAUGAUGACAUGUUUUUUUUUAAAUCUUAAAUAUCAAAACCAUUAGUUCAAAAUAAUUAAUAAUAAAAAUAUAGAUAUUGAAUAAUUAUCUAAAAACAAAUAAGUUUCAUGAUGACAUGUUUUUUAUUUUAGUUGUUGGGAAUAUCACCCAAAAUUGCGUUUAGUAAUAUUAUGGUACUUAAUUCUGAAUGGUGACAGCGUUUUUGGCUGUGCGGAAAAAGUGGUUUAAUAGUUGGUACAGUUCAAUUGUGGUACGUGCAGAAAAAAAAAAUUUGUAGGACAAGUGCGGUUAAUAUAUAAUAAACGAUACAGAAUAAUGUUCAAUUGAUGAAAAAACAGUUUGUAGUCCACAAUAAAAUGUUAUGUAUUUGGUGGUGUGCCUCAUUGUAGUGCAUUUGGUGGUGUGUCCAUUGUGGAAACGGUUGAGGUGCCCUAUUGUUAAGCAUUUGGUGGUGUACCCUAAUGUUGAAAGAUGGAGGGCCAUAAUCCUCAUGAAUUUUGCUCUUCGGAAGAUGGACUACCAAAGGAUAAUCCUCCUGUAUUUAGACUUCCAAAUGAUUGGUCGGAACCUAACUGUUUUGGCACAUCUUGGUUGUUCCGUGAAACACCAGUCAAAGCUUCUAGCAGUUGUAGCUUAUCCUCAUCGAUGCCUUCCACUAUAUCAAUGAAAAACUUACGCCAAAAUAUUAACUCUUUCAAUGUAUUAAGGCAUGCCUACUAAAAUUUAGUGCUCUUUGAAUUUUUUUUUUAAAAAAUGGUCUUAAAAAUAGAGAAAAUUUGAGAAAACAACUGUAAAUGAGUCCAUAUUUUUAAAAAUACAUCAUUUUUAAUUUUUUGAAAAAAUAAAUUUAUUUACAUAUAAAAGACUAAUUUAACCUAAAUAAAAAUUAUACUAAUUUUAAUUUUUAGAUCAUAAUUUUUAUUUUAAAAAACAAAAAUAAAUAUCUACAUUUAUGGAUCUUCAACACAAAAUACACUAUUGAAGUUUUUAGUGAUGUUCCAUGGGCCACUGCAAAUAGACACAAUUACCUGUCAUAAUAUUUUUGUUAGCCACAAUGAUUCAAACAAAAAAUAUGAGCUGGUCAUGUCGAGUUUGAUGCCCAAAAACAUAAUUAACAGCAGUCAAAAACAAUAGAGAAAGUUGAAUUAGCCUUAUAAAUUAUAACCAGUUAAAACAAAUAAAUGAACUCUUACUAGCGACUAACGAAAGAAUUCAUGUGCUUCUAAUGAUUAUGGAUUCCUUUCUGAGACUUUCAAUGAUCAUUGGAAACUUAAAAAAAAAUAGAUAGAAAUUGACUUGACCGUCAUCAUAUAAUAACUCUACAAAAGAAGCAUACAUGUGGGAUGCCUAUCGCUAAGUUCAACACACCCAAAGAUAAGCCUGCUACAAUAGAAUUUUGUAUAGAUUACACUCUGAAACUAGUGUGGUGUUGCAUGAGAUAAUCUGUUAUUUAUAUUGAUCCAAGUGCUAGCUAGGUGUUGUGACUCUAAGUAAAGUUUUGAUAGUGUUGAUACUAAUGGUACUUCUUUUGUAUAUUUACGUUAUGGGUUCACCAAAGCUGAUUUUGUUAGAACUAUUCUAAUAUUUUACUGUUUUCAGUUUUGUAUUGUUGUCGUAUCAUAAUUAUAUUUCUUUAGAAAAUAGUUUUUUUUCAUAUUAAUAAUUUCUUUUGGUAAAUACUAGAAAAUAAUAUAUAAGUCAUUGUUCAUAAUAAUAUUAUAAUUGCAUCAUCAAGUAUAUUCAAUCCAAUUUGGUAUGUGAAUUGUAAAAAAAAGCAUAAUAGUUUAUAUAUUAACUUAAAUUAUGAGUAAAUUUUAUAUAAAAAUCUAAUCAAAUUUGGAAAAAAAUUAAUUUUAUUGUUGAUAUAAAUUUGAUUCAAUUAGUUAAAUGAUGUCAUGCAACAAUGCAAAAUAAGAUUAAUUUGAGUUUUUUUUUGAUAAAAUAGCUAUGAUUGGUAUUAAAAAAAAAAGCAAACUUAAAAAAAUUAAUGUAUAUAAAAUUAUACCUGAUGAAAAUUUAGGUUGUGAGAGGAAAAAAAACAAAAACUUGCUUUUUUUCUUUGAUCUUCUCUGUAUUUCCUUUUUUUCUUUAUGAUUUUUGUGUAUUUGUGUACAGUAGCAUUGUAGGUAUUUAUAGGGUAAUUUAGUAAUUAAAUAUUAGGUCUAAUUAAGGCUCGGAAUGCUGACAGCUUUUUCGACUGUGCAGAAAAAGCGGUUUAAGAGUGUAGUACGGUUCUACUGCGGGACAAAUACUUGCUAAUUUUCCGGUACUUGCUACUUGGCGAUCCGUUCAAAUAAUUCAAUUUGCUACUUAUACUUGACCAAUCUAAAACAAGUACUUGCUAUAUCAAGUACUUGCUAUAUCAAGUACUUGCGAAAAAUUGGAGUAUUUGCAAGUUACUUGAUCUGACUUGUUACUUGCCAAAAUUCAUUACUUAAAUCUCAAGUACUUGAUUACUUGAACCUAAAAUAAUUGAACAUUUGAUUAUUUGAACCUAAAUACUUGAAAUAAAAAAAUCAUACAAAAAGUCAAUAAAUAUGCUAACGAAAAAUUAAAUUGAAAUAUUGAUAUGUGAUUAAAACCAAGUAACAAGUAUUUUUAAAUGGGUAGCAAAUAUUUUUUAACAAGUAAUGAGUAACAAGUAAUAAGACAAGUAAGGGACAAGUAUUAAAAAUAUUAAUGAUAUUUGAUACUUGACCCGUACUUGCAAGUAAUAAAUUUCUGUGAUGUGUUACUCGGCUUGAUAACGACAAGUCUUUGUUUUUUCAAGGCGGGUACAAGGCAAGUAACGAGUACGGGAUAACUAUCAAGUAAUUGUGUCCAGCCUGGGACUGUAGAGAGUUUAGGAAAGUGAAUUGUUUAUCUUUGCUUAUACAUGUGAUUUAGGGAAAAGUGACAAGCUAUAUAUAGUAAUUUUAAAUAAAUUAAAUAAAAUAAAUAUUAUUAUUAUAAUAAAAAGGUUAUUAUCUAGCGUGGAAUUCAACUCGACCGCUGGGUAAAGCAUAUAUGUUACAUAAAAACUAGGUCCUUUAUAUUUUCUGUCCCAAAAUCCACAAACUUUUUUUUUACAAAACUCAAAUUACUGUUGUUUUUAAAUAAUUGGAUAACAACUUGCGAUUUUUAUUUUUUUUCCCCGAAAUCCGCAUCCUUUAAGUCACCAUUCACACCUUAAAAACAAAAAAAAAUCUAUUCUCCAGUGCGUUAUUCAAAACAAACGCUGGAUAAAUGGUGUCAUCUGUUUUGAAAUACGGUCCAACAUUUUAUCCAUUGGAGAAAACCACCAAUGAUUUUUAUUUUGUAAAAAAUAAACUGCAACAUUUAAUAAAAUAUGCUUUAUAUGGUUACCAUUCACACCCUUAAAAGUCUGAAUAGUGACAGCGGUUUUUGUUGUGCAUAAAAAGUGGUUUAAAAGUGUAGUACGAUUCAACUGCGGUACGUGCAGAAAAAUAUUAUUUGUGGGACAUGUGCGGUUAGUAUAUAAUAAACAGUGUAUAAUAAUAUUUGAUUGGUGAAAAAACAGAUUGCGGUUGAUAAAAACAACUUAUAAUUAAAUUGUUUGUUUUGGUUAAAGAAAAAUAAUUUUAUAUAUUUGAAUUUAAAUAUCCAAAUUAUAUUUAAAUUUAUUUUUUGAAUAUAUAUAUUGCUAAAUGAGAAAAAACUAUAAUUCAUAAUAAAUAAAAUACAGUUACCUUUUUUAUACAUAAAUAUUAUAUUGAAAUGUGAAAAUUAUGUAAUUUUAUUGUAACAAUUAUCUUUUUGUACAUAAAUAUUUUAUUUUUUAAAAAAUAAAAAUAUUAAUUUUACAAACUCUAAUUUGAUAUUUUUAAUACAUUAUAUUAUUAAAAUAUUAUUUCUCAAAAUAAAAUGUAUUGAUCUAUGAAUUAACUUUUUACUAUUCUCCAUAAUUUCAAAUGCUUUACUGUCAACUUUUAUAAUUUUUUUAUGUCGAUUGUCCAAGUACCUAGAACGGUUUGAUUAACCAAACUGGUGGUACUAAGUUUACAUAAAUAACAUAUUGAAAAUAGACCCGGGCACUUCUUGUUAGAUUGUCUGCUUUCAAAUUUUUCGCGUGUGGGAUAUGUGAUAUGCAGAAAUAGCUGAAUCUGUCCUUCAUUUUCACAAUCUCCUCCAAGUGUAAAGCAAAUGCUAGCCAUUCGUCGGGUGUAGAAACCAUCUUCACCAAUUUCAAACAGUCUGUUGCAAAAGGUAUCGCCGUCUUCUGGUUCUCUAGCAGACAGUGUGUAGUCCAGAUGAGGGCUUCCACAUCCUUAUGCAGAGGCGUAUGACUUCACCUUACUUUUUGGGCGCCUAUAAUUGUCUGUAGCACCCUCUUUAAAAUAGUACCAUCCUAAACCCACAGAUACAUCCGUAUCUUUCCAAGAACCAUCAAUAUAACACCACCAUCCAUCAUACGUUAUAGGUAUCAAAGAUAUCAAAGAAAAAUUCGUAUUUAUGGGGCUUGAAUCCUAUGCAGUUCUUUGAGCCUCCUCCCAUAAUGUUGCCUUCGUUUCCGCUAUUUUCAGUGUAAUUCGUAGAUCUAUAUCCAUAUUAGAAAUUACUUUCUCAUUUCUUUCCUUCCAGAUAUACCAUGCAAUCCAUGGAAACUGUGUACUUUUUAUCUCUUUAGGAAUUCUCCAGAAGAGAUGAUCCAUAUUUGAAUAAACCGAUGUCAUUGGAGAAACACUCGGAGGUGCCGGUAUUUGGGAUAGUGCCCAAGUUUGCAAAGCUGGGGGACAUUCAAAGAGGACAUGGUUAAUAGUUUCUUCCUCCACUCCACACCGUGCACAUUGUGUGUCACAUUGUAUUACCCGGGUGUGUAGCCUAGCUGACACUGGAAUGUACCCAGAUAGUGCUUGCCAUAUAAAGUGUCUUAACUUCGGAGAGCAUUUAACUUUCCAUGUGUAUGUUUGUAAUGCCUUUAUGUCUGGACCAUAGGUAUCAUCAGUAACUCUAUCUGAUGAGUCAUGCUCAGUCUGGUAUCCUGAUUUGACCGUAUAUCUUCCGGUUUUUGUAAGUGUUGGUCAGACCUAUACUAAUGGGAAUUCCACGAAUAAUGUCCACAUCCUCUGAGAUUAACCAUAUUCCACGACUUUGUCAAUGGAUCAAUCAGAUGUUUAACCAUGAUUUGCGUAAUAAUUAAAACCCUUACAAUUGAAUCUCGGGCGAGAAGAUGGUAUCAAAGGAUCAAUCCAUACAGAGAUUGAGUGUCCCGAACCAACUCUUUUGAUUGGCCCUUUAUUAACCAGAGAUCUAGCCGAGAUUAUGCUCCGCCAUCCAUAGGAUGGUGAAUAGGAUCAUACUGGAUCCAAAGGGCUCGUGUUCCGAAAGUAUUGCCCCUUAAAGACCCGCACAAAUAAUGAGUUUUGUCUAUCAAUCAGUCGCCAUGUUUUGCCAGCAAAGCCGUGUUAAAAUACUUUACGUUUCGAAACCCGAUUCCCCCUUCUGUCUUAUCUCUACCCAUCUUAUGACAUGCUAUCCAAUGCAUACCUCGGUGGUGUCCAUCAGUGCUCCACAAAUAUCGUGCUGUUGCACUAGUUAAUUUAUUUGUAGUAUAUUUAGGCAAUCGAAAACAAAACAUGAUAAACGUGGGCAUUGCAGAUGCCAUAGAUUUAAUUAAGAUGUCAACUUUUAUAAUUGUAUUAUAAUCUUUGUAACUAAUAUAUUACUCUUUGUAAUAUUUUUUAUUUUUUAAAUAAUUAUAUAAUUAUAUAUAUAUACAAAACCGCAUCUAAACACUUGAAACGCAUCAAAAUACUAAUGUUUACACUAUUAGGUGCGAUUUCACAAAUCCCUUAACAAAAUUUGGACAGCAUUUAUACUUUUUAUAUUUUUUUUUAUUAAAAAUAAAAAACCGCACCACACUUCAUACAUUGUUGCUAAUUAGUAAUAUGAAAGUGGGCUAAAACCGUCCCGCGUUUCACAAUUACGCAGUCACCAUUCAUUGCCUAAGGGUCCUAAUGGUGACGGCAUAUUAGGUUGUGCGAGAAAAGUGGUUUUAAAGUGCAAGCUAAGAAUGGUAACCUAACCACUGCGGAUUUCAAAUGAUUUUUUAGAAAACCGCACCCUUUUCACCAAUCAAGAAUUUUUUUAAUACAUAAACGUUUUUUUAAUUAAAAAAAUAUGACAAAACGCGGAUUUAUCUUAUGAGUAAAAGAAAGUAUCACAUCUUUAAAACCGGACACAGUUAUAACCCAGCGGUUUUUACUAAAAACCGCACUUAGAUAGCAGUUUCUUUUAAUAAUAUUUUAUUUUUUAAUUAUUAAACAUAUAUUUUAUGCUAUACAUACCCAAUAUACUUUAUAGUUUAUUUCUACCAUAUGCUAUAUUGAUUAUAAAUGGAAAUAUUAUAUUUUUUUUCAAAAAUAAAACACAAGAAUAAAAAUUAAUUAUUGACAAAACUUAAUUAUUAUUAAUGAAUAUUCAAGUAUUAAUUGUGAUGAUUUUAUUAACAACAUGGAUUUUAUUAACGCUUUCCAAUGAAAAAAAUGCAGAAUAAAAAAAAUACAGUUAUUUUUCUUUUUUCUGUUUACUUUAUAAAUGUUAAUUAAUAAAAAACAUAGGAUUAUGUCUCUUCGUCAGAGGCAUUUCACUGUGUUCAGGUGCGAUUUCUUAGAUAUAAAUAAGGGAUAGAUGAAUGAAGUUCGACUCAUUUAUUUUCUCAAAGUAAACAAAAUAAUUUAGACGCAUUGCUAUCCAUUUUUCUAUCUAAAAGAUGUAUGUAUUUUUUUAAUUUAUUAUAAUAUAUUGAUAAUAUUAAAUUGAAAAAAUUCUAUUAUGUUAUUUUAAAUGUGUUUUUUUAGUAAGUGAAGUUGUUAUAAUCUUCAAAUGGCUUAUUUCAUUAUAAUUUUUAAAAAUUUUAAUUUAAUUGAUAAUUUUAUUAUGAUAUUAUUUCUUCAGAAGUUAUAUAAAAAACUUUUAUUCUAUUGUAUUUUAUUUAUUAUGAAUUGUCAUUUUAUUUUAUUUAAAGUUCAUAAAUAUAUAUAAUUUUUUAUUCAUUAUCCAAAAUAAAUAAUUUUAAUUAUAAUUAUACUAAUUAUUAUAUAUUUUUCUAAUAAUUUAUCUAUAAUCUGUAAUCUGUACCGCUUUAGUCUUAUUCACUAUUCAAACAUUUUAUUGUUGAACGCAAAUUUUUUUUCACCAAUCAAACAUUAUUCUAUACCGUUAAUUAUAUAUAAACCGUUCUGUCCCGCAUAUAUAUUUUUCCGCACUUACCGCAGUUGAACCAUACUAUAUUCUAAAAUCGUUUUUUCUGCACAGCCAAAAAUGCUGUCACCAUUCGGAGCCGCAGUACAGUUUAAAUCGGUACGUGUGGGAGAAUUCAAUUGCGGUACGUGCGGGAGAAUUCAACUGUGGUACGUACGGAAGAAAUUCAACUACAAUAUAUGCGGGAAAAAUUAGUCAAAUAUUGGUUUAAUUUCAGUUUGGCUUGGAUAUCUAACAUAUUUUUAAAAAAUUACUCAAAUAUUUAUGACUAUUUAAUUCAGUUCUUUUAAUUUGAUUCAGUUAAUUUUUUUACUGUUAGUUUCAAUUAAUAUUUUUUUAAAAAAUUUCCUUUUGAUAUCUCUAUUUAUGUAUAUAUAAAAACAAAAACCGCACAUAAAAACCGCAUAACGCACCAAAUAACUACCAUAAACACUGUUAAGAGCGUAAUUGAACAUUUUUUCACAAAACUGAACCACACUAUUAAUUUUUUAUUAUUUUACUGAAAACAGCAAUAACGCACCGCACUUGAUGAAUUGUAGUUGAUUGGUAAUACUAACAUACGGUCCACAUAAUAACAUCUUGCAAUACAGAAAACGCAUUUACAAUUCAAGGCCUAAGAGUGUGGUAUGGUUUAACUGCGGUACGUGCGAGAAUAUAUAUUUGCGGGACAAGUGUGGUUUAUAUAUAAUAAGCGGUACAAUAUAAUGGUUGAAUGGUUAAUAAGAAACAAAUACAACUUGCAGUACAUAAAAAUUGUUUUGAAUAUCAUAAAAUACUAUAUUUAUCAUAAGCUAUUAUUAAAAUAAUUAUUUGAACUAAUUUUAUUCUAAUUAAGGUUAUAAAAAAUAUGAAAAACAAAAUAUCGCUAACAAAUUUUUUUUAUUUAAAUGUGACUUCUUUAUGUAUUUAAAUUAAAAGGGGAAAAUGUGUUUUUUUAAAAUCCAUUGUAUAUGUGGGAAGAAGAGAGAAACUAUGUGAUUUGAAAGAGUUAAAAAAAAAUUAGUUAUAAACAAAAUUAUUUUUUUAAUGGUUUGUCAUCCAAAGAUAUGCAUUUUUACUUGUACCUCUGGGGUUUAACAUGCGGUGCAAAAUUUAGAUGUGUUUUUUGUCUACUGAGUAAAACAUUUGUCUUGGAAAGUGUGAGUAAUUUUGUUUUUUCUUUAUGAAUGGUAACGCAUGGAGUACGGAUUUCAAAAGAUUUUUUUGAAAAACACACCCACUUCACUAAUCAAAGAAAUUUAAAUGAAAAUUGUUGCUCUGAUUGGUGACAACAAAAAGUGCGAUUUUCAAAAAAAAAAAAUUAAAAACGCAAAUAAACACCAAUCACACAAGUUUUUAUAAUUAUUUGUGUUUUUCAAAAAUUAUUCCAAAAGUUAUUUGCGGUUUUCAGAAGAUCUAAUUAACUCUUAGACUGCUUUUUUUAGUCUUGCAGCAUUUACUCAGUGGUAUUAAUAAAAUAACGCCGUGGAUAAAAAAAAUAUGCUAAUUUUCUUUUAUUUAUUUACUUUCUUAUUAACAAAAAGUUGAUGUAAAUUGUUUACAACACAUUAGUUGACAUAUAUAUAGAAAAAAACAAAAAAUUAUAUUUAACCUAUUACCAUCGUUUCUGAUCUCAAAAAGGUAUAUUUUUUUAAUAGAUUAAUAUAAUUAACUUUAAUAUGUUAGCAUGUAAUAGUAAAAAAUAGGUUAUGUACUAAUCAAUUUAUAAGUAAUUAGAAUGGUUAAUACAUAUUUUUUAAAAUAUAAUAUGUAACAUUGUAUACAAUUUAUUAUGAUGUUUUUUCACCAUUUAAACUUUUGUUAACCACAAGUUGUUUUUUUUGUGAAAUUGAAUAUUAUUCUACACCCUUUAUUUUGUACUGAUCGUACUUAUCCUAUAAAUAUAUUUUUGAUAACCUUAAUUAGAUUCAAAACUAGUUAAAAUAAUUAUUUUAAUAAUAGUUUUUUGAUAAAGAUAGUAUUUUUUAUAUUGAAAACAUUGUUUAUGUACCGUAAACUAUUUUUUCACCAAUCAAACAUUAUUAUGUACUGCUUAUUAUAUACAAACUACAUUUGUCCCGUAAAUAUAUUUUUCCAAACGUACCGCAGUUGAACCAUACCACACUCUGAAAGCUAUGAAUGGUGAAAGGUAAAAAAUGGAUUUCAUAAAAAAAAGGUAAAAUCGCAGAGACAUCACCAAUCAGGCAACUUUUCCCAAAAAUUGCAUGUUUUUUUUUUAAUAAUUGGCGGUUUUAUCCAAUGGAUAAAGGUUGGACCGCCCUUCAAAAAGAACCACACCAUUUAUCAUGCGUUUUUUCAUGCGUUUCUUCGGAAAACGUGUUAUCAUGCGUUUUAAUGGUGGUUUUAUCAUGCAUUUCUUCGGAAAACGCGUUCGAUAAUAUAUAUUUUUCUUUUCUUUUAGUUUUAAUAUUUAAUUAUUAAAUUAUCCUAUAAAUACCUACCAUGCUGCUAAAGCCAUGUACACAAAAAUCAUUAAAAAAAAACGCAGAGAGAAAGAAGAGUAAAGAAGAAAAAAACAAGUUCUUAUUUUUUUCUCUCACAGCCUAAGUUUUCAUUAGGUAAGUUUUAUAUACAUUGGUGUUUUAAAGUUUAUUUUUUCUAUACCAAUCAUCGAUAUGUUAUAAUAAAAUUAAAUUAAAUAACAAUCCAAGAAGGGAAGAAAAGUUUGUAGGUAUAUAGCUGGUACACAGGACCUUUAUUUGUGCUACCAAAAGGCCGAGCAAGAGACCUCCAAUAAGGUCAAAGGGCAAGUCAGUCCCAAGAGUGAAAGAGAGUUUCAUGUGCCUAAGAAGCAGGGCAAUCUCGAUUGAAGCCAAUUCCAGUUUUUCAUCUUAUUUUAUAUUGUUUCAUAACAUCAUUUAACUAAUUGAAUCAUAUUUACAUUAAUAAUAAUUAAAUUUUGUUCUAAAUUUAACUAGAUUUUAAUAUAAAAUCUCCUCAUAAUUUAAAUUAUAUAUAAAAUGUUAUGCUUUUUUUUUUAACAAUUCACAUACCAAAUUGGAUUGAAUAUACUUGAUGAUGCAAUUAUAAUAUUAAUAUGAACAAUUAUUUAUAUAUUAUUUUUUAUUAUUUACCAAAAGAAAUCAUUAAUAUUAUGAUUCAUAUUCAAAAAAAAAAACCUAUUUUCAAAAGAAGUAUAAUUAUGAUAAAACAACAAUUCAAAACUGAAAACAAUAGAAUAUUAAGAAUAGUUCCAACAAAUCAGCUUUGGUGAAGCCAUAACGUAAAUAUACAAAAUAAAAUCUUCAAUAGUCUAUUUUGUUUUGAAGAUCUGUAAUGUAGAGAUUUAUUCUUGUUUUAAAGUAAAAAUUAUGAUCUAAAUAUUAAAAUUAGAAUAAGUUUUAUUUAAGUUAAAUUAGUCAUUUAUAUGUAACUAAGUGUAUUUUAAUAAAAAAAAUUAACAAAUGAUGUACUUUUCAAAAUAUAAACCAAUUUUUGUUUUCUCAAAUUUUCUCUAUUUUUCAAGAUAUUUAAAAAAAAAAUCUGUGUUUUUUAUUUUUUGGUGUUAGUUAUAUACAUUGGCCGUUAGUAAAAAAAUUAAAUUAAAUAUAAAUAUUAUUAUUAAAACAAGAAAAAUAAUUAUUUAGAAAUAUAUAAUAUUAGUUUUUAAAACCCUUAAACUAAUGUUUGGAUUUUAUUAAAUGUAGAUGUGUUGGAUAAUCGGUCGCGCAACACGAAUUUCUCUAGACAAACAAGAUCAAUUUGUUCAGUUGACAUUUCAACUCCUCCCACAAAAACAACUGUUAGGGUAAAUAAUGCAUUAUCUUGUUUUUCAAUUAUAUAUUUAUUAUAUAUACUAUCAUAAGUAACAACGUAAUUUAAAAAAAAUUGUAGAACAAAGAAAAAUACAAAUGGUCCAAUAUACAAGAAAAAACACUAAUUCAAUUAUUUAACGAAGCAAUUGCUAUGGAUAAUUAUACUCUCAAAAAUGUUUCGGCUGCUGGUAGAGAGUAUAUGGUUCAAAAGUUUAAUUGAGCAUUCAAUUUGAAUAUAACGUAUGUAUUCUUCCAAAACAAGCGUGCUGUAAUUCAAAAAAAGAUACAAGAGAUGGAAGGCUCUUAUGAAUUAUACCGGUAUCUCGGUUGAUCCUGAAACAUCCAUGAUAUAUGCAUCUGAAGAAUGCUGGAAGGAACAUGAAUUCGUAAGUACAAUUUAAUCCUUCUAAUAACGAAAAAUAUGUAUUCAACUUAUGGAAACAAGAAAAAUUAUGAUUCUGAAAUUUUUAGGGAUGCAUAUUAACAAAAAGUUUUAACCGACAGCCACCAGAAUUUUAGGAUGUGAUGGUAAAAUGUCUUGUAUUAUAUGAUGUUUGCUCACAAUCUCAACACGUUUCAUGGCAAAGAAGAGAAGAAUUAAUCAACGAAGAUGCACUUAAUGAAGAAUGCUUUGAGGACUCAGACAUCAACAGCGGUGAUAUGCAACAAACACAAGUUCCUGAGACACAAGAUGAAGAAGAAGUUUAUCGUGUAACCAUUGACGACGAUACAUGCCAUUCGAAUAAAUAUAGAAGUGAACCAGUCCAAAAUUCUGCUCGUAGAGGCCAACGAGGGAGGGUCAAUUUGCGGUCUAACGUUAGACAAGAGAUUAAUUCACAAAGUUAGGUGGAAGAUCACGGAUUUCUGUUUCGAGUGGUUCACGAGGAGGUCGUAGAAGACAAUCAUUCGAGACAACCAUACAAGAACCAUUGUUGGAUAUAUAUACAGAGUUUCAACGACAAAGUUUGCAAUAACUUCGUCCAGGUGCUUGUGACCAAGCUGACUACGAAAUAUUCCUUGCGCUAAAAAUUCCAAAAGGCACUAAAUUUUACUGGGUAUGCCUUAAUACAUUGAAAGAGUAAAUAUUUUAGCGUAAGUAUUUCAUUGAUAUAGCGGAAGACAUAGACGAGGAUAAGCUACAGCUGCUAGAAGCUAUGACAAGUGUUUCACGGAACAACCAAGAUGUGCCAAAACAGUUAAGUUCCGGCCAAUCAUUUGGAAGUCCAAAUUCAGGAGGGUUAUCAUCUGGUAGUCCAUCUUCCGGAGGGAAAAAUUCAAGAGGGUUACGGCCCUCCAACUUUCAACAUUGGGGUACACCACAAAAUGCUCAACAAUGGGGUUCACCUCAAGCGUGUCUACAAUGGAGCACAGCACCAAAUGCACAACAAUGGGGCACACCAGCAAAUGCGCAACAAUGGGGCAACCCCAAAUGCUCAACAAUGGGGGCUUUCACUGAACUUUCAACCUUGGGUUUCCCCAUCGAACUUUCACGUAAGAGGUGAGACACAAGACUUUCAACAAGGCAGCUUAUCAGAAAUGACUCCAGUCAAUGUUCAAUAUGGAUUUUCAGUUGGAGGUCAAGUAGGAAGUACGAAAACUAACGAAUAAGAAACUUCAGGAGCUUUACCAAACGCUCAACCAACAACAUCAUGCGGUCUUGAUUUCACAAAUUAUGUUGAAACUGGAUAUCAAGUACCUAGAUCAGGAGAUAUAUUUAAUAUAUGGAGUACCCCACAAGAAAUAAACACAAAUGUAAACGAAGGUCGUCAAAAUUGUUCAGAAGAUGAAGAUUAGUCUGUAACAAUUGAGUUUCAAUAUUCUCGUUUAUAAAAUGAAAUAUUUUAUAUUUUUUAUUUCAACUUUUUGUGUAAUGUUUUAAUUUAAAUUUAUAUUUUCUAAUGAUUUUUUUUUUCAUGUUUAAAAUUUCAGGCUUUUCGUUUAUGUCAGUUACGAUCACAAGGCAUCCACAACCUAAGUUACAAAGAGAGAAUUGAAUUGUGGAAUUUGAAAAAUGAGCAAUUUACGGAGUUAAUAAAUCAGCUAAGUUUGAAUUACUAUCAUCAAAAUUUUAAAAGAGCAUCAGACCUAACAGACAGAGGUUUGGGAUGGACAAAUAUUUGGCCUCGGCUAAAACAAGAUGCUAGGGUAUGUCCUCAAUUACUACGAAUGUCAAGGCCAUGUUUUAUAAUGUUAUGUGAUACGUACAGACAAAUUACGGUCUUAAACCAAGGUUAAAUAUGAGCAUUGAAGAAAGCGUGACUAUAUUUUUAUGGAUAUAUGGACAAAAAGAAAUUCAAAAAGAUGUUGUUUUGAGAGCAUCUCCAACCCUGCUCCAUUUUCUACUGCAAACUCCAUUUUGGAGUAAAUUUCACUCCAACCCUACUCUAUUUUUUACUGCAAAAUGGAGAAAAAAUAGAGAUUGCUCCAUAAUUUGCAGAAAUACUUUCUUAUUUAUAACCUAAACCUUAAAAUAUUAAAUCUUUAUAAUUUUAUACCUCUUAUCAACACAGCAAGCAACAUUCUCGACAUUAUAUAUGGCUAUAUGCAUUUUCUUUUUUCAGAUAUCCACCUAAUAUUUGUGUGACACAUACCACUUUGAAUUUUAUAUAUAUGUAAUUAAAAAAUGGUCUUCAUGUAUAUAUAUAUAUGACUAUCGGUUAAAUAAUUAAUUUUUUAUUUUAUAAUUCAUGUUUAUAAGAUUUUUUGACAAGAUUAUAGGACUUUAAUAGUUUAAAAAAAUAUAUAAUAGACAAUCAUAAAUAUUUUAAUAUAUUUUUAUUUCAAAAGAUUACAACUUAAAAUAAACUGAAAAAUACACAACAAGUUGAUGAUGACAAUAUCAGGUUCAAAGAGUUUCUCGGUCGAUUUAGAAAAAUCAAAGAUAACGAAGCUCAUUUUUCAUUUCGGAAUGCAUUAAUUGAUCAUUUGUAGGAAAAAUUUCGUAAUUAUGAUUUUUAAAUUUCCUAAGUGUUAUGAUAUUAUGUAUUUUUUUUAUUUAUUAAAAUUUAUUAUGUUUUUAUGAUUUUAUGUAAUUUUCUUUAUUUAAUAAAUAUUUAGUUUUACUAAAUUCGUAAAUUAUAAAUAUUUUAGAUAAAAUAAAAUAAAUGGGUUAUUUUGUAACUUUUAAAAGUUAUAGGUUAUUAAAAGUAAAAGAAAAAAUAGAAUCUAUUAGGAAUAAUCUUUUUUGAAGUCAAAAAUGGAGUCAUGCAUUGGAGCAAAACACAACUCUAUUUUGGAGUUACUCCAAUUUGGAAUAUAAAAUGGAGAUUUACAUUGGAGAUGGUCUGAGACUUGGUCAAAAUCAAGAAACUGUGCAAAGAAAAUUUAUUGAAGUUCUUAGGACUACUGAAUUACUGUCAUGUGGUAAUAUUAAAACUCCAACAAGAGAAGACCUAGACUGAGUUCCUGAAAGACUUAUACAAGAUCGAAGAUACUGCCAUAUUUCUGUGGAUUUGUUGGAGCUAUGGAUGGGACUCAUGUAUGCGUAAAAGUGAAACCAGAAUUAUAAGAAAUGUAUUGGGAUCGAGAUGAUAAUCCAUCUUUGAACAUCAUGGCAAUAUGUGAUUUGAAUAUGUUAUUCACAUAUAUUUGGAAUGGAGCACCAGGAUCAUGCCAUGAUACAUCGUUUUGAAAAUGGUAUGAGUUCCUUUUGCCGCCACCAGAGAAGUAUUAUCUCAUUGAUUCUGGUUAUCUAAACAGACAAGGAUUUUUUGCUCCAUAUAGAUCAUCACGAAACAGAGUUGUGAGAUAUCAUAUGGCUCGGUUCAGUUCUAGUCCUGUUCCUAAGAAAAAACAAGAACUUUUUAAUCGAAAUCAUGCAUCUAUGUGUUCUGUUAUCGAGAGAAAUUUUGGAUGUUGGAAGAAAAAAUGUAGAAUUGUUAAAGAAUUUCCAGGAUAUCGUAUUAAAAUCCUAAAGAGAGUAAUAAUGGCUACAUAGGAUUAAAUAAUUUUAUCAAAAUUUCAUAUUUCACAGAUCCAAAUUUUGCAAAUACAAUGACAGAGACGGAAAUGAACAAUAUAGAUUCUGAAUACGAUUAAAUGACAUUGAAGGAGCAGAGGCAACUGAUGGACACUAUAUGGAGCAAAUAAGAGACAUAAUUGCAGAUAUGUUGUAAAAUCAAAAUAUUUGAUGAUUGUUUUUAUUGUAUUGUACUUAUGGUUUAAUCUUGUUUAGCAUUAUUUGUAUCGCAAUAAAUAAAAUUUUAUUUGAAAUAAAAUUUGAAUAUUUGAAGUUCAUAAAUAUGUAAAUUUGUUUUUUUGUUGAUCAAAAAUAAUAAUUUAAUUAUAAUUAUACAAAUUAUUAUAUACUUUUCUAAUAUAUUUAUCUAUACUCUGUAAUCUGCUCCGCUGUAAUUUUGUUCACCAUUCAAACAUUUUAUUUUGGACCACAAGCUGUUUUUUCACUAAUCAAACAUUAUUCUGUAUCGUUUAUUAUAUAUUAACUGCAUUUCUCCCGCAAAUAUAUUUUCCCGCACGUACCGCAGUUAUACCGUACCAUAUUCUUAAUCCAAAAAAUGCAAAUGUAUGUAAAUAAUUGUGAUUGGUGUCAAUAUGUGGAUUUAAGUUACUUUUUCAAAAAACAUUUUAUUACUAUAUCACCAUUCAUAGCUUUAGACAAUCUUAAACCCAGAUCUAUGCCUCAUGUAUUAAAAAUUAGGCAAAUGCCUACAACCACCAAAAAUAUUAUAAGAUGAGAGGGCCACAUUUUUUUUUGUAGAGAUUACCCUUAUAUGUAAAUUUAAUUUAAUAAAUAUGGUUGAAAUCUAGUUUGAGAAAACCAUAACACUUAAGUUAUUAUUAUCACUUUUAUUGUUAUGAAAAAUUUAUGCAUACAGUAAUAUUUAGUAAAGUUAAUAACAAACAAAGGAAUACAAGAAAAAAAAUAGCUAUUAUAAAUAACUGAAAGAAACAAACACAUAAUAAUAUGUUUUAAAAUUUCUUUAUUUUUGGUUAUGUUAUCAAUAUUAUGGAAGAUUGUUUUAGAUAAUAUUAUUACUUUUAUAUUUUUGUUAAAUAAAAAAGGUUAUAUUUUUUUAAACUUGCUUUAAGCCACCGUAAGUGUAAGUACGGCACUUCUCCAAUCCUAUUCCAUUUUCACUUCCAAGUAUAUUUUUCUCCAACCCUAGUCUAUUUCCACCUUCAAAAUGAAGAUAUGAACAGUAUGACUUUAUAUAUGGAGUGACACUAUUCAUCUUCUCCAUUUUAGAAUAGAUUUUAUUAUUUUAUAUUUUGAUCAUUCAGCUAUUAUAUGUUAUCAUUUAAUUCUUAAACAAAAAUUUUAUUAUUUUUAACACAUAAUUUUAUUAUAAAUUAUAAAACUAGUUAUUUAGAUAAGAAAAACAUAAAAAAAAAAACAAUCAUAACAUAUAUAUAAACAGAAAAUACAAUGACAAAAUAAUUUUCAAAUUAAAAUUACAUAAAAAUAGAAAAUACAAUAACAAAUUAACUUGAAAAUACAUAAAAAUAGAUAAAACACAAUAACAUAUUAGUAAUCUGGUAAACCAUUUCUGGAUACACUAAGCUCAUUAAAAUAUUGUUCAAAUGAAGUAGCUGGAGGAAUAAUUUCUUCAUAUUUUUAAUUUUAUUGAAUAUAAUCAACAAAAUAAAGUUAUUUGAUUCAUUUUAUAAGUUUGACAAACAAAAAAGUAUAACUACAAAAAACGAUAUAGAAUGAUACCGUCUGCAACCACAAACGUUUGCAGAAAUAAGUUUUUAGAUUUCAGCGAUAUAAAACGAUAAUGAGAAGUAUGAAGUUAUUUCUAUGAUUGUUAUCAAACGCCACUAACUACUAUCAAUCGUUAUGUUUACGGGUGAUAACAAAUGAACCAAUCAACACCUAAAUUGAUAAAUCGGAAACGCAAACGCGCACUAAACCAUAAGUGGCAACAGCGUUUAGGGCACUUUUAUCGAACCUUUGAAAAAGAUAAAAGUCAAAAACAGUUGACCACUCUCUCUUCCGCCUUUAAUCGAAAUCGGACGAAAAUGGGAAAACGCGACAAGAAACCAAAUCGGCGUCGCCACAAAGGAGAGUUCUCGAACGACGGCGAAGAUUUCUACGAUCAACACCCUCCGGCUGCUGCCUCCGUAGACGAAGAUGAAGAAAACUCUGAGGAAGAAGAAGAAGAAAACGAGGAAAACGACGAGCUUCAGCCAUCGGAUUUGCCCUCGAAGUUCCUUCUCUACCAACAAUCGGUUCAGGUAAAAUAAUUAGCAACUCGCGACUCUCUUUGUUUUGCCCUUUUAGGUUCCUGAGAUUACAUCGACUGCUUUGGUUAGACUGUUUAGACAUUAGUUCUCUUGCGUUUAUGUUUUUGUCUGCUUUGGAGUUAAAUCUCUUCCAGUGAAGAGAAUAAUAUUUAGGAUGUGAUGGGUCAUUGAGUUUAUGGAACUAAGAAAGUUAGUUUUUUUGCGUUCUCUGUAUCUCUUACAGAAUGAAGCAUUAAGCUUUGAAUUACUGUAUUAUGUGUGUUUUGGUGCAGUCACCAAAAGGAGACAUAAGCUACUUGCAGAAGUUCUUUUUGAUGUAUGUGGGUGGAAGGCAGCCUCUCCAUUUCCAAGAAGAUUUCUGUGGAACUGCUCUUUUAAGGUAACUAAACAUGCGUCACUAGAUACGUAUAUUUUGCUUCACUAAAUAGGUACGAAAUGAUUUGAUUGUUUGGGAUAGUGCGGAGUGGCUGAAGACUGACACAAGAAGGACUGCUAUAGGGCUAGAUUUUGACCUUGAGGCACUAGAAUGGUGCAUGGAUAACAACAUAAGUAAGCUUGGUGCUGACGGGUAUUCAAGAAUGUCGCUUUUCCAUGGUAAUGUCUUGGCCCCUGAUGAGGCUAAGCUAGUGAAAUCCGAAUCACACGAGCUGAUACAGAACAUCAGCUUGGAUGAUGGGGAUAGUGAAGAUUUGGUUGAUCCUUGUGCUGAAUCGUUAGAGAAAGAUGGACCUGAUUCAUUACCGAAGAGGGAUAUAGUGUGUGCUUUCAAUUUUAGUUGCUGUUGUCUCCACAAACGCUCGGAGUUGGUUUUGUACUUCAAGAAUGCACGUAAAGCUUUGUCAAAGAGAGGCGGUAUUUUCGUGAUGGAUCUAUAUGGAGGUGCUUCUGCUGAGGGACAGUUGAAGCUUCAACGGAAAUUCCCAAGUUUCACGGUAAAAAUGUUAAAUUCUUAUCCUUUAUCUGGUAAAAGUGCGUGUCAGAGCCAGAGUAACCGUACUAACGACUAUUCAAAUAUCUUUUGGCAGUAUACAUGGGAGCAGGCUGAGUUUGACAUUGUAAGCCGCAAGACAAGGAUCAGUCUGCAUUAUCACCUUCAGAAGCAGAACAGGAAGAUUCGCCAUGCUUUUUCAUAUAGCUGGAGACUGUAAGUGGCCUCUACUCUCCGCUUCCAGAUCCAUUCUUUCUGCAAUGUUGUACAAGCCUUAAGAGAAUCUUACAUUAGCAUAGUUAUAUACUUGUAGAGGGCUUGCUUAGCUUUUCAAGGAUGAUGUUUCAUCUGUCAUGUUAGGUUCCUGCAUUCCUAGCUUUUAUUGUUGGUUUGGAUGAGUUAGGUAUCUUGUAGUGCAGCCGAUUCGGAUCAUCAUGUUAGUGAGUUGUCCUUGUGUUGGUGGAUCAUGUAACCGAUAUUUAACGUUAUAUUGAGAUUUUUGCUUUCCUUAACAAUAGAUUUAUACGGUUCUUGCACUAUUGAACAUGAAACCUAUGAUUCACGUUUAAGUUCCUCAGAAGUCUUGAGUUCAUGUGUGUGUAGGUGGUCAUUGCCGGAGAUAAAGGACUGUAUGGAGGAAGCAGGGUUUAGAUCAGUCCAUUUUUGGCUCAGAGAAAUGCCAGACGCUUCUGAAAUGCGUAGAACAGAUGGGUUUGGUGCGGGACGUGAUAUCAAGUACGAAGAAGUCAAGAGCUUUCCACAGUGCGAUGCUUGGAAUGCUUACAUUGUUGCGGUUAGUCUCUAAGUUUUGUGUACCAAACAAAACCUUUAUGGUUUGAGUCCUUAACCGAAUCCAUAGCCGUUUUGGAAACUAUGCGUAGAGAAUCAAUCAGUUAUGCAACUCUACUUUAAGCCUUUUUAAAUCAGAUUCUCUAUUCCGCGUUGGUUUUUACUUUUUAGUUCUGUCACACACACUGAUUUACUUUUAGUUAUGCACCAAUAAUCAAGGAGAAGUUGGGGUAUAUUCUAGGCCUGGAGUUUCGAUUAACCGAACCUACCUGGUCCGUUUUUUUGGUUUUUUGGUAAAUCUGGUAAUUAAAAUCUUACCAAAAUUAACCGAAAAUGUUACGGCUCGGUUUGGUUAUUGGUUAGUUCGGUUUUUCUAAAUUUUACCAAAACUAAUCAAAAUUUCGAUUUUUGUGUCGAAAUUCGGUUAUAAUUGGAUAAUUUCGGCUAAUUUGCUUAAUCUGUUUUGGUUUGGUUAUUUGGUAUAUUUAAAAUUUCGUAAUUUUUUUUUUCGACAAACAAUUCCAUUAAUAUCAAAAUACGAUUACAAAGUCGGUACACAAAACUUUUGAAAAAAAAAUUAUUAUAUAAGCAAUAUAUGCGCCAUAUGUUAAGAAUGACACAACAUGUAAAGUGAAUUUCUAAAGUGAAUUUAAAUGCUUUCCAAAGUAAAGUUAUACUCGUUAACGAAUAGUUAAAUUCAUUAUUUUCUUUUUUCGUAUUUUUGUUUUCUAUGUUAAUUGUGUGUUUGAUUAGUAAUUCUUGGCUAAAUCUUAUAAUUACGCACCUCAUGAUAAAACUCAAUACUUAUGUUGUAUGAAGUUUUGUUUCCACAAAUGGAUACCAAAGCUUUCAUAUCCAAAUCUUUCUAUUAGGGUUUAGCUUUGACUAUGUCACCUCGUCAUCGACAACAAGUUAAGAAGAAAUGAAAAAUGAUAACCUCCACAACACUAAAUCUGGAGAGAAUCAUUAUCCAACAUUUAGAUGUCACCAAAGAGAUCUAAACCAGAGCGGUGAUGAAAUAGAUGUCAAAGAAAUUGGUUUCUAUAAUAUUGGAAAAAUAAAUUGCCCAAAAAAUUGCAAAUAACAAGAAAUGUGGUGAAUUAAAUUGAAAACGAAAAGAAAAAAGGAAAAAUCGGUGGUCGAAGCUGUCGCCCGAAAAAGGAUGUAGUACGCCGAUUCGUGGAGGAAGGAGAGAACGGUUUUUUUUAUUUUUAAAUUUUUGUAUAAUUUGUAUAAGAUGUUUCUGACAAAAAAAAAUUAAAAGAACCAAUCGGUUUGGUAUUGCAGAACCAAUCUGAACUGAUAACCGACCCUAAUUUUGAAAGCUGUGGAUCGGUUUAAACCUCUAAACCGAAUGGAAACGAAAGACAGAAAAGUUCGAUUUAGGUUGGUACGGUUCCCAGAUUCGGUUAAAAAUUUCUGGCUAAGUAUAUUUUGUUGGUGUCAAUCCGGUUCAUUUCAUCAAAAGCCCCGAAGGAACGUCGACACCUUCCGAAAUCGAUGACGGUUUGAAGCGGUUUUACGACGGUUCUCUUGCCGUUAUCUCCAUCUCCGUAGUGGGGAUCGUGCUCCACUUCGAUGUCGUUCUCUUCACUAACUCCCAAUUGUCUGGAAUUUAUAAAUUAUGUAAGUGGCCUCCUGAUCCUCAUUACGUUUUUAUUCGUUUACUCUCUUUACUGGUUAAACUUCGAAAUCAAUCAGAGAAAUUCCAAAUGGCUGAAAACUUAAGAAGAGCAAUUCAGGACAUUAACCUUGGGGUUAAUGAUGAGCCGGUGCCACUUCCUCCCGAAAUAUGCAAUGCUGCUGCAACAGCGAACCAAUUCUGUUUAUUGGGUCGCUCUCUCAUGCCAGGGAAACAAAACCUACGCAGAAUUGUGGCCGUGUUACCCAGAAAUUGGGGAUUGUCGGGAAUCAUUUCUGGGCGUAUUGUGGAACGACGUCGGUUCCAAUUUGUCUUCCCGUCAGAAGAUCUGAUGCAAUCUGUCAUCAACCGAGGACCAUGGGCUUUCAAUGAUCGAAUGCUAAUUCUCCGCCGUUGGAGCCCGGAGAUGAAUGAUUUCAACCUCAUUCAUAUCCCAUUCUGGGUCCAGAUCCGAGGUAUCCCUCUACAAUUCCUCACACAAGGGGUUAUCGAACACAUCGGGAAGAUACUGAGUGGCGAAGAUGUAAUAGAAGUGGAGUUCAACCCAGAAGUUGCCCCAAUGGUGGAGUUCGUCCGUGUCAAAGUCAACUGGAAUGUCGAUAACCCUCUCCGUUUCCAGAAGAACUUCCAAUUCUCACCGGGGGUCAGCACCUUACUCAAAUUCCGAUAUGAGCGACUAAGGGGUUUUUGCGACAUCUGUGGGAUGAUGACACAUGACUCGGGGCAGUGUGUAGUUGAAGAUCAUGACCCAGAGGAUCCACAUGAUGAUAAUGACGAUGCACAAGAUGAGCCGGAAGGACAAGAAGAGGAAAUGCAGGAACCAAACCAACAGAAUCCAGAAGUUAAUUCAGAAGAUGAAGAAAUGAACCCAGGGAAUCAGGAAAUGGAGGCCGUACAGGCGGAUAACGAAGUGGAUAAUGAUGAAUUGUACGAUGAGCAGGGGGAAUUGGUGGGUUUUGAAGACUACGAACUACCCAUGGUGAAGAAACAUGGCAGGAAGGAAGUUCUGCGUCGCCGCCGGUUCGUGGAAAACCUGUUAGAGGAAUGGAACAAUGGGAACCCAUCAAUGCUGAGGGCUUUCACUCCAGUACCAGAAACUUAUACGACGAAUGAUGGAAGUAACGACGACAUAGAGGUUCAACAAUAUGGAAGUUUCUUCACUGGUGACUCGGUAUCCUUUUCUGAGGAUGGCUCCGCUACUAAGUCAUCAGGUAAAAGACCUCUGAUCUCAGAAAAGGUUACAGAUGGUGUGGAUGCUUUUGAUGCAGGGUAUUUGGUUAAGCGACCACGACUGAACAUGACACCAGUGGACAAGUUUGUGGAUGGAGAAAGACAAAGGGUUGACGAUGAAAACUCUCUCCUCAAGCUGCAGUUUGAUUAUGGCGAGAAUGAUGAAGAUACGGAUGAAGCCACUACACAACACGGAGGCGCGGUGGGCCCGAAUCCACCACCGGUCCAAUGAGAGCUCAGGUGUGGAACUGUAGAGGCUUAGGAUAGCGCCUCACAGUUCGACGUCUGAAGGAGAUGCAGAAGCUGUAUCAUCCGGACUUGCUGUUCCUCAUUGAGACGAAGCAAAAUGACGACUACGUUCGUGAUAUCGGGGUUUAUUUGGGGUUUCAUGAUAUGUGUAUUGUAGGUCCUCAGGGGUUAAGUGGGGGAUUAGUAGUUUAUUGGAAGCAACAUGUUUCAGUUCAAUGUAUUUCCGCAGAUGCAAGACUCAUCGAUCUUCUUAUUGAAUAUAAGUCUUUUCAGUUUUACUUGUCUUGCAUUUACGGUGACCCUGUUCCAAAAAUGAGACAUCAUCUAUGGGAAAAGCUACAAAGAUUAGCCGUGUCAAGGGUUGGGCCUUGGAUGAUGUUUGGUGAUUUUAAUGAAAUCACUAAACAAUCAGAAAAGAGAGGAGGAAGAAUCCGAAAUCCAAACAGUUAUGCUGAUUUUAACACGAUGAUGAAAGUAUGUGAUAUGACAGAUCUCAAGCAUAAGGGUAACGAAUUCAGUUGGGUGGGAAAGAGAAGGAAAGAGGUUAUCGAAUGCUGUCUUGACCGAGUUAUUGUGAAUACAACCUGGAAAUCACUCUAUCCAGAAUCAGAAUCCGAAUUUUUGGAACUUGCAGAAUCUGAUCAUCGACCAGUUGUGGUAUCAAUCGAGUAUGAACCACGUAUACGAAAGGGGCUUUUUCGAUAUGACAAAAGACUAUUUGCACAUGAAGGAUUCGCAGAAGUUGUAAGAGAUCACUGGCAUACUCCAACAAGCAUGAACAUUAAAGUAUCAAAGAAGCUAAAAGAAUGCAGGAGAGCAAUGGCUCAAUGGAAAAGGAGAAACAGAACAAAUGCUGCAGAAAGAAUACAAAUAAUUCGUUUGCAGAUAGAUCAAGCUAUUCGAGAUAAUACCAUUACCUCAGAAGAAAUACAUCAAAUGCGGAGAGAUCUAAAUAACGCCUAUCGGGAUGAGGAAGAGUUUUGGAAACUAAAGAGCAGAAAUUCAUGGCUAAAAGUUGGAGAUAGGAAUACAAGGUUUUUUCAUGGCCUAACUAAAGCACGUAAAUCGCAUUAUUGCAUUAAACAGAUUGAGGACGAUCAUGGGAUUAUUCAUCGCCGUGAUGAAGCCAUUGCAAUAGUAGCUCAAGAAUAUUUUCAACAACUGUUUUCAUCUUCCAACCCAACACCACUUGAUCAAGUUUUUGAGGAUAUACAACAGAAGGUAACGGAAGAGAUGAACCAGUUUUUGACUAAACCAAUCACUGAUCAGGAGAUCAAGAAUGCUGUUUUCCUAAUCGGUUCAGAUAAAGCAUCUGGCCAUGAUGGAUAUUCUGCGGCUUUUUAUCAACAAUUCUGGCAAGAUAUUGGACCAGAUAUAUGCAGUAUGGUUCGCAGGUUUUUUGAAAAUGGUGAGAUGGAAGAGCAGAUGAACCAUACAAACAUGUCUUCUACCAAAAACAGGGGUGUCAACCAAAAUGAAUGAAUUCAGACCAAUAAGUCUAUGUACGGUACAUUAUAAAAUCAUCUCGAAAGUGUUAGUGAUGAGGCUAAAAGAAUGUCUGGAUCAAAUCAUCUCUGAGUCUCAAGCUGCUUUUGUGCCAGGACGUAAUAUCACAGAUAAUGUGUUGGUUGCACAUGAAUUAUUACAUGGACUGAAGUCAAAAAAAGAUGUUGCUGAAUCGUAUAUUGCAAUUAAAACAGAUAUAAGCAAAGCUUAUGACAGAAUGGAAUGGGGUUUCUUGGAACAAGUAAUGAGGAAGAUGGGAUUCUGUGAAAAAUGGAUCGAAUGGAUCAUGCGUUGUGUUACGACGGUAUCUUUCUCAGUGUUGAUUAAUGGGAUUGCAUAUGGGAAUUUUCAACCAUCAAGGGGCAUUCGACAAGGAGAUCCUCUGUCUCCUUAUCUAUUCCUUAUAUGUGCAGAGGUAAUGAGUCAAAUGUUAACUGCUGCAGAGAGGAAUCGUCGAUUUCAGGGGUUGAAACUAGCAUCACAUUGUCCAACAGUAUCUCACUUAUUAUUUGCAGAUGAUUCCCUUUUUUUCUGCCGAGCAACAAGAUCAGAUUGUGAAACAAUAGCAGAAAUCAUUAGGAGAUAUGAAAUUAUUUCAGGGCAACAAGUGAACUACACAAAGUCUUCCAUCAUCUUUGGUAUGAAAGUCAUACAAAGACAACGAGAUAUGAUUCAGGACAUAUUAGGAAUACAAAAUGUUGGUGGAGGAGGCAAAUACUUGGGGUUACCAGAACAAUUUAGUCGAAGCAAAACAGAAGCUUUUGAUUUUGUUGUCAAGAGGAUACAAGAUAAGUUAAAUGGAUGGUAUCAUCAGUUCCUUUCUCCUGCUAGAAAAGAGAUUUUGAUCAAAUCAAUCCUUCAAGCAACGCCUAUUUACUCUAUGAAUUGUUUCCAACUACCAAAAACAAUUUGUGAUGAGAUAAAUAGCAUGAUAACAGAAUUUUGGUGGGGCAAAGCUAAUAAUUCCAGAAAUAUACCGUGGGUGGCUUGGAAACGAUUGUCGCUACCAAAGACUGAAGGAGGUCUAGGUUUUAAAGAUCUCUAUCACUUUAAUAGGGCACUUCUGGCUAAACAAGCGUGGCGUAUCCUCAUUAAGCCUUAUUCUCUACUUGCCCGAAUUUAUAAGGGAAGGUACCAUUACAGGUUGAGGUUCUUAGAUUCAACUUGUAGUGGCCAACCUUCGUUUGGCUGGAGAUCGAUCCAAGCCGGUAAAGACCUUCUUAAACAAGGUCUAAGAAUUCAGAUAGGUACUGGUAAAGAGAUCAAAGUUGCAUCGGAUCAUUGGAUUCCAACAUCACCACCAAGAGCAGCACGGGGUAAUAAUAUCGAUGCAAAUUUAACAGUGGCAGAACUAUGGAUACCUGGUAAACGGGAAUGGGACGAGCAAAAACUACAAAAUGUAUUAUGUACGGAAGAUGCUUUCAUUGUAAAAAGUAUCACUCUCUCCAAAUUUGCUGUUGCAGAUAAGUAUAUCUGGCCAUAUUCCAAUGAUUCAUCUUACACUGUAAAAUCAGGGUAUUGGUUUGCAACGCAUGAAGCAGAGAGAAAUGAAGUCAUUGAACCUCCUAAUGGAUCAGUUGAGCUCAAAAUGAAAAUUUGGAAGUUGGAAAUCUUACCAAAGAUCCAACAUUUCUUAUGGAAAGUGUUAUCAGGUGCUCUUCCAACAGCAGAAAGACUCCGUACACGUGGAAUCAAUGCAAAUCCACUUUGCCAGCGAUGUUGCCUUGCGGAUGAGACGAUUAACCAUAUCUUAUUUCAAUGCACACAUGCUCAAGCUAUAUGGCGUUGUUGCAAUAUACAAUUGUUUGAUAACCCAUCAAGACUGUUAGAAGAGAACAUCGAACGACUCAUCACCAUCAAUGAAACAAAGACGUUAUCUAUGGAAAACAGAGUCUUGCCGUUUUGGACAAUCUGGAAUAUAUGGAAGUCAAGGAACGAAUUUAUAUUCCAAAAAAGAAAUUCUCACCCAAGAGAAGAUGCUGAACGUGGAAUUCAAGGGGCAAAGGAGUGGAUAGCGGUUAUACGAAAUGAGGAUUUCUAUGGCCGUAAUGUCAAUGUUGAUUCAUCAAAACGUUCUUCUAAUUGGCAGAACCCACCACAGGGAUGGCUAAAGUGUAAUUUUGAUGGUUCUUAUGUUUCAACAAGUGAUAAAACUGGUGUUGGAUGGAUUCUCCGGGACCACGAAGGAAAACACAUUGUAUCAGGUAAUGGACAACUUCCACAAUCACAAAGUUCACUUCAAGCGGAGGCAAUCAGUUUCUUACAUGUUAUUCAGAACAUAUGGCUACAAAGUUGGAGAAAUGUUUGGUUUGAAAGUGAUAACAAAGAAUUAGUACGGCUGAUAAAUACAGGUGGAGAAAACACAGAGAUUGGAAAUACCCUGACGGAUAUAAGAUGGUGGAUCAGAAAGCUCCCUCUAUGUUCCAUUGAUUAUGUCAAUAGAGAGCGCAAUCAAGCAGCAGAUAUAUUAGCAAAGAAAUCAUAUAAAAGUAGUAAUUCAUAUAAUAUUUAUUAUUGUCCGCCUAUAUAUGGCUACUGAACUAUUUGUAUUAUCCGUUUACGGAAUAAUUAAUAUAAAAAGAUGUUAAAAAAAAGAAAAUUCAAAUAAAUUGACGAUCGAACCAAUUAAUGACAUUUGAUUAUACUUACUAUUUAUGAAUUAAUGUAUAUAAAUAGUAUAAAAUAUAUGAAUUAAUGUGAAAGCUUUCUGGAAUCUUCUUUCAAUGACAGCCUUGCAACCAUCAAUUUGUUCAUUCAAAGCCAAAAUUACACACAUUUUUUGCAAUUUUCCAUAUUACGGCAAAAAAUAAUAAUAAUUUAAUUCUCGAUUGCCUCGUCGUUAGUUUUUUUUCCCAUUUCCUCAUAUUUCUUCUUCGUCUUCCUCUUUCCCUUUCUCAUCUCACGAUUCCUUUCCUUUCCUAAUCCAUUCGAUUUCCUCUCUCUGCUUUUAUAUACUGCAAAUCAUCAUCCGUCAAUCCUAAUUCUCUCAUCUAUACGUUAAUCUCACCGAAUCAGAACAGAUCUAUUUAAUUGUUUUUUGUUUUGAUUUGUUACUUUCCAGGUAAUGAUUUGUUUUCUCGAUCUCGCUAUUGAUUCUAUGUAAUCACAUCACGGAUCUGUGUGAUUGGGUUUAGAAUUCAAACUAUUUGAUUUAAAUAUGAUUUAAUUUAAUUUACCGUCGUUGAUUUUCUAGGAAUUUGUAUUUUUUGUUCUCUCGCCGGAGUUUGAUUAUUAUCCCGAUCAUGGCGGAGGAACACAGACUCCAGGAGCCACGAUUAUGCGCCAAUAACUGCGGUUUCUUCGGAAGCACCGCCACGCAAAAUCUCUGCUCCAAAUGUUUCCGAGAUCUCCAGCACCAACAGGAAAACUCCUCCUCCGCCAAACACGCCCUUAACCAAACCUUCGCCGCCGCUGUUUCUUCAACUGUUGGUGGUGCUGCUUCCUCCUCCGUAUCACCACCACCGCCACCGCCACCGACUCCAUCGGAUCCCAAAACGAACCCGGAGAAACGAGCGGCGGCUGAGCCGGAAGAAGAGCAGACGCCGCCGCAAGAUCCGAAACGGUGUUUGACUUGCCGGCGGCGCGUGGGGAUCACGGGGUUCAGGUGUAGGUGUGGGUUCGUGUUCUGCGGGACGCAUAGGUACGCGGAGCAGCACGAGUGCUCCUUUGAUUUCAAGAGGAUUGGGAAGGAGAAGAUCGCUAAGGCGAAUCCGAUUGUGAAAGCAGAGAAGCUGGAGAAGAUCUGAAAAAAGAGUUUGUGUGGUGGUGUGUUUGGAGUUUGGUUUGAACUUUGAAAUGAAUGUAAAUUUAAUCAUCAGUUUAAAGCUUAUUUGAUUUCAUUUCUUCUCAAUUUGGUUUUAAAAUUUGCCUCCAUUGUUAUUGUAUUAAGCUUUCGUUUCAGAGCUCUUUCAACAAAACAGAACACAAAAGGCAGCAGACAGAAACAAGCGAAUCUUAAUGGUCUUGAUUUCUUUGAUGAUUUUGAGAAUAUGCUUUGUGUUUCUUUUGGGCAGGCUCAUACUUAUUUGGUUGGACUUUGCUGAGAGCAAACAUGCCAAAAAUCUUUCACAUGGUAUGCGGGACACUAUGAUACUCGGUCAAGGAUAUAUGAGGCACAUCACAUGCCUCUGAUGAAUUUGGAGAAAGCUGAGAUAAACAGAUCCUUAGUUCAGAGAGAAACCUAAUCGACAACAAUGUUAACGAACGCUCUCAUGCAUGAGUUUUCCCUUGCUCUCAGGGACAAAAUAAUCGAUGUUGAUUGGAAUCUCGCAUAGGUCAAGAAACCAGAAAUGGAGUUUUGAGGUAGAGGAAUAUGGUUUCCAAGAGACGAGUAAAAACUCAUUUAAGAAAAGUUAAAUCUUCACGGCAACAGAAAACAAAAUAAUUAAACGGUAUAAGAGAAACAUAAAUUAAAUCUCAAAGCAAAUCACUUUGCAACACGCUCAAAUAACCGAGCUUGAGGAAGAUCAAAGCUGCGUAACUGAAAGGCAUUUCUGUCAAACUCGAUCAAUGCUAGAUGAUGUCAACUCAUAUACACUUUCAAUACACAAAACACUAUAGAGUACAUUUUCGUAUAAUUUAUUGUUGUUCAUCUUCGUAUAAUCUAAACCCACCAUUUACAUCGACGAUAUCUUCACAUCGAUCAAGUUAUCGAUUGGCAAUCGAAAUCAGAGAGAAUAUAUCUAAGACGAGGUUGGCUUGGAAAAAUCACGAGGUUAGCUUGGAAAAAAUCACGAAUCAGAGAGAAUAUAUCUAAGAAGAAGCUUGACCGAUUGUGUAAUGUCCAUAUAAACCGUAUCUGAUAAUUUGUUGGCUACAUGCAGGGCCGUGCCUAACUGCCUAUAUAUGUAGCUGAGUAAGAAAUAUUGGCCUACGGAUCAAAUUUUUUUAAAAAAUCCAAGGCUAAGUAGGAAUAGUAGAAAGCUAAGAGAAUAUAAAAUUUAUUCAUAAAAUUGGAAACUAAUUAAAAAAGUAUUUAACAAAUAAAAAGGUAGGGUAAUGGUCGCAAAAAUGUUUAGUUGGCCGCUUAAUACACGGUAUAUCUUCAACUCACCUUCUUCAUUAUUGAAGUUUCGAAGCUUUCAGUUAUCUUCUUUUUAGAACAAUAACAUAAUUAUCAAACGGUAUAUCAGUAGGUAUUUGUUAAAUUAUUAAUUAUUUUCUAGCAAAUGCUAAAAAAUAAUUAGUAACAUAAUUAUCAAACGGUAUCUCAGUAGGUAUUUGCUAAAUUACUAAUUAUUUUCACUUUAACAAAAAAAAAAUUACUAAUUAUUUUCUUAUUAUAAUUUUUUUUUGCUAAUUUGUUGUAACUUUUUUUUACAUAGAUGUCUGAAAACAACCUUAAAAAAACUAUGAAAAAAAAAUUAAAACAGAAAAGAGAAAAAGAAAAGAAAUCAGUGAAUGCUUUAUUCAGGUACUUCAAAAAACCUAAUUAAACUCUUGAUAAAUCUAUAGAAAAAGAUGAUGAGCAUCAUGGUGUUUCUGGAGAUGGUUAGAGAAUACGAAUGCAGUGAAUAAAGAUGACUUAAAUGAGAAAAAUGAUAUGAAUAGUUGAAUACGCUAUAUGAAGAGAAUUUGAAUAAUAAAAUGGAUGUAGUGAAUGAAGAGGGUUAAAAAAAAUAAAGAUAAAGAUGAAGAUAAUAAUGAAUGUGAAAAAAGAGAAUGAUCUAAUGGAACAUUGUGAAUUAGUUUUAUAUGGACUAGGUGAUUUUCCACGCUACGCUCGGAUUGUUUUUAUAUAUAUUUUUACUAUUUUAAUAUAUUCAAAUUUUUUUUAUUAAAAUAUAUAUGCAGAUGCUUAAAAUACAUGUUUUCUUUGUUUAUUUUCUCAUACAAAACUGUAUAUUUCAAACUGUAUUUUUGAUCGAACUGUAUUUUUUUGAAAAGAGAUAUACAUGAUAAAAACUACCAAAAGGUAAAAAAAAAAAAACAGAUUUCUCUGUAAAGAAGCAAUACAAGGAAAAAAGGAUUUCGGAUUCAACAUUUGGGUUUCUUCGGUUAAGAGGCAUAGACAUCUAAGUGUCUAAAUGCUUACUGAGGCAACUCGAGAUCGGGUCUUCGAUCAAAAGCAUCACUAAGCUACGCACGGAAGCAUAUGUUAUUGUAGGUUUAAAUUUUAUGUUUUAGAAAUGUUUUAGUACGUAUCUUGUUACCUGAUUUGUGUGAUUUAUGUUUUGUAAGCCUAUACAUAUCUUUAAAUAGUUUCCUUACCAUAGAAUUUGAUUUUUCUUUUUUUUAAAAAAAGAACAAUCAUAAUCUUCUAUGUGGGUAAAUUAAAUUGAACUGGUUUCUUAAUGUUUUCGGGGUCUUGAUUUUGAAUCUUAACAAAUAGGGUAGUGUUGUAUGUGAUUUCCGCUAUUUGGAUAAGAAAAAGAGAGCGAAAUGCAUGUGGAAAGUGAAGGUUAGUUUUCCCCCUCGGCAAUUCAUCUGAAAAUAAAUCUAUAAGAAAGGCAUAAAACUAAUUUAACGUUCACAUAAGUCCGAAAGAGUAAUAGUCGGAUGAGAAUAUAUAAACAUGCCCGCCUAAUUUAAUUAAUAAAACUUUGUUUUCACUUUUGUGCAUUCAAUAGUGUCUCUUCAGGAAUCAAGCAUAAAAAAGAAGGUACUCUUCAGGAAUUGUUCAUUCAUUCAUUUUGAUGGCCUAUUUGUUUAUUUAGCUUCUUUUCGUUUUUUCUUAUUCCAGCAUUCUGAUGUAAAUAAAGACAUAGUUUUUAACUUGUGACCAAACACACUACCCUCUUUUGGUUAAUUCAUUUUGUCUUGCUUAUUCAUUCUUGAACUUUUGAGAUACCUAUCUUCGUUGGCCGUGAUAAUACACCCUUUUUCCUGUAGUAACGGGCAUUUACCAAACUAAAUCAAAACCAACACAGAAUACUCGGGAAGAGGAUGAACUAUAUUGGACUUCCCUUUUCACUGGUUGAGAUUCAUCUUUCUCUUACCAUAUGCAUGUCAUUUGAUUUUGUGAAAUACAGCAUAGUCCAUUGUCUAAUGUAUAACCCACCAAAGAUUCCCACCCAUGAAUGAAAUUAACUAUAACCUAAUUAAUCAAUACCAAUACUGCAGCCAACGUUUAAUUGGCAUACACAUUUUAUUGAUCUUGUUUGGUGGCAACUUUUAAGAAAACAAAUUGAAAUCGUAGUUAUUACCCAAAGAGCCUGAGAGGUAGAAAGAUAAAAAUAGACACAAAGACUAAUGAGAGGAAUAAACCUUUUAGCAUUCCCGUAUAGCAGGCUGAUUAAAUUGUCAUUAAUCGAAGGAAAAGUAGACGUCGGAGGCCCAUGCAUUGACGACUUCACCGUUUUACAGAAUCUCUACUAUUAGAAACAUAGACGGACCGUUAUCUAAACGUUGGCAGACUUAAUGACUUGGGAGGCCAUGAAAGGUCGACAAUGGUUAUCAUUGCUGAGCCCAUUUAUGCCCAUAUUUUAUCGAUCUCCUAGGUAUUAUCAGGUCGGAGGUUAUUUGAAUGAGCGAGUAAAAGGGGUAAAGAGAUGAUCAAAAGUGGAGGAUAAUUAUAUAAUACAUGAUUAGUAUUAGUUGUCAGAAUUUGAUAUAGAAGAUCAUGACAUCGUAUCUUAGCCUAACAUCUCAAGCAAAAAAUUUUCCAUUUCAAGCUAUUUAAAACUAAUUCAGUACCGAUCUAUCUGGAAAGAAAUAGGAAACCUGUUGUCGAACUAUGUUGUCGGCCUGCAAUCAAUAAAUGUAAGAACUCUGAACCUAACUUUACACUCUAUUUAUGACGUUCGGCAUACUGUGUAUAAGGAGAAUCUAGACUCAAAAACACUUAGUAUAGCACAUGGGAGAAUCAUAAGAUGGAAAGCAGAAUCGUACAGUUGCAUGCAAUCACCUUGUUUAGAACUCUGUUCCUAAAUAAGACUAUGUCUCUACAUAUAAGGAGAAUCCAGAUUCUGAGGCGCUUAGUAUAAGAGAUCGGAAACAGCAAGUUACAGGGAAGAUGAGUGCAACCAAGAAGUGUUUGGAAAAUAUGAAGAGAGUAGCUGUGAUCUAUUGACUACAAAAAAAUCAUCGAGAUGCUUAUAUGUGAGUGGUUGUUGCAAGAAAAUUUAUCAGAAGAGAGUAAGUAAAUCUAUGAACAACCUGUUUUUAGACACCAGCUUUCGAGUGUAAUAGCUGGUUUAGCAUGUAAGUUCAAGUUAUAACCCAGGAAAAUAUUUUCUACCAAAACCUACUAUUCUGAUAACCUGUAUAUUUUUUCAGCAUACUCAACGUAGGAGCAGGAGCUAGGCGUGGCUGGUCGUUUCUACCGACGUCUAACAGGGGAAAAAUAAAGCAGAGAAAAAAUCAGCAUACAAUCUAGAAAAAGUCUCCAAAUGAACUGGUUAAAGAAUAACAAAUGAAGCAAGUUUUAAGAGACACACCUUUUACUUGACGUGUUUUUCUUCUUUGUAGUCUUACUCUUCAUAUUUCCAACCUCUCUCUCUCUUCUUCUGUCGCAGCUAAUAUAUAUAUAUAUAUAUUAUACACAAGCAACACUCCAAAAAGCAAAUAAAGAAAUCCAAUAUAUAUAUAUAUAUAUAUAUUGGAUUUCUUUAUUUGCUCGAUUUGGAGUGUUGCUACUGUAGUGAAGGUGAGAUUAGAUCAUCACAAUGCUCAGAUGCAUGAUUACAAAAAACAGGGGAGCUGAUAUCGAGAAGAAGAAGACAAAUUUUGACAGACUAACCAUUGGAGGAUGAUUUGAAGGUUUGAACUUCGGAAAUCAUUGAUGUUGGUAGUCAAGUGACUGGGAUCUAAAGCAUAGAAAAUGCAUUUGAAUAAGAAAACGACGGUGAGGGCCUUACCUCUCCAAUCUGGAUCGUUGGACUCCUUGCGCUGAUAUAAGGAGUUCCAUUUGCGUUUCUCUUCCUUUCCUGCAUCAGAAAGAGGUGAUCAUUAAACAGGUCUAAAGUAUCUAAUAUAAUGAAGCAAAGGAAAGCAGAAAGAUUAGUUUGCCAAGAAAAAGAAGGAGCGUUGAUUUUGAGGGAGCCGAGGCAUUUGAUCUAGUAACUUUUAAUUCAAUGUGAACCGUUGUGAUAAUAGAAGGAAGGCAAAGCGAGAACAUUGACAAAUACACGUGUAAUCUUUCAAUUGGUGAUAGAUUAUUGUUUAUGUGAGGAGAGAAUGGACUUGGAAUGUUGACGUGGCGUCUUCUCCUCAAGUUUUUAAAAAGCUGAUGUGGAUAGGGGAGCCUCAAACUUCUACUUUUAUUAGAGUAGAUUUGAGACGGUAAGUGUCUUUUUUAUUUAUUUAAGUUCGCUUACGGGCUAGAAAUCUCUGGGCACAACUCUGGCUACGUGCGUAGCUUGUAAUAUUGUGAUCACAUGUUCGAAUUUCACAAUGACUGUUUCCUUUCUUUUUUUUUUUAACAAAACUCAAAACAACAUUGUUUUGAGAAUAUUUUCCAACAAACAUUCCCAUCUGAUUGGAAUUCGAUGUUGGAAUUCGAUGAGUGAAGAUCUUUUAUGGGCAAUUUUCGGCGGUGGAGGAGGGAGCUUCAAUGUCGUUUUGGGAUACAAGAUAAGCUCGUUCCCGUGCCAUAGACCAUCAAAUUAUUUGACAGAUUGUGUUAUGUCUACAAAAGUAGUAUUUGAUAUCAAUAACAAUGAAGCUUGUAUCGGUAGUAUUUGAUAUCAAUAACAAUGAAGUUUGUAUGGUUCAGUUGGUAGAGUUCUCAUUUUUAAUUACUGAAUUUGUGGGUUCGAGCACCAAAGUUGAUGUUUUUUAUUUUCAUUAAAAACAGAGUGAAAACUACGUCGUUUUGAGGAAAUUUUCCAACAAAGAUUCUUACCUGACUUAUUUCCGUUCAAAGUUUGAUAGAGUUGACUAAUAGAAAAAGUCAAUGCAUGCACGAAUUAGCCAAAAAAAAUUAGUAGGUGUUUUAAUUUUUCAAUUUUAGGGAUUUGGAUACAAAUUCACAUACCAAAAUUGUUCGGAUCCUAGCCGAUACUAGUUGUCGAUGUUGAUGUACCAAUCAGCCUUUAUCCCUCAUUUCAUCGAAGAAGAACACAUUUUAAUAACAAACUCAUUUGUAUAUAAGAUUGUAACAGACUUCAUUUGGAAUUAAUGAGAAAUUUCUCCAACAAACUUUCCUCUCAAACUUUGUCUUCUCCAAAUUUUCCGCUAAUAUGGUAUCAGAGCCAUCAAAGCUCUAUUUCCCUCAUUUUCUUCUUUGCAUUGUCCUUUCUAAGCUCCAUUUUCGAGACCUAUGGUUUAUCCUGAAGCUUCGAUGGUGUCUUUAAAAGCAAUUCCUCGACGAUCCACUCGUUCGAAAGCUUCGAUGAGUUCAGCUCGAAAGUCGACUCGAUCCUCUUCUGAUGUUGCCGAUCUAGCUCCGAAUAGUCAUCCAGUGGUUAAUCCUCAAGACUCUGGAUCUUUGCGAGUUCCUGCAAUACCAGAUUCUCAGGAUCCGACUCAAUCUCUAUACUAUAUGCAAAAUGCUGAUCAUCCAGGUUUGCAAAUCAUUUCUAUGAGACUCGAUGGUUCAAACUAUGAUGAUUGGAAUGCUGUGAUGCUUAUUGCUCUAGACGGUAAGGAUAAGAUUGUAUUCAUAGAUGGACCAUUACCUCGCCCUGCUGAAUCUGAAAUCAUUUUUAGGAUCUGGUCUAGAUGUAAUAGUAUGGUCAAAUCGUGGCUCUUAAAUUUUGUAUCACCUCAGAUUUAUCGUAGUAUAUUGCGGUUGAGUGAUGCUACUGAUAUUUUUGGCAAAAUCUACAUAGUCGAUUCCAUAUGACUAACUUGCCAAAGACUUUCAAUCUCACACAAGAAAUCCAAGACCUCCGUCAAGGUUCUAUGAGUCUUUCGGAUUACUACACAACUCUCAAAACAUUGUGGAGUAACCUUGAGAGUACUGAUGAACCUGAUGAACCUUGUGUGUGUGCGAAAGUUGCUCGUUUACAAUUAAAGGCUGAACGAGCUCAGAUAGUGAAGUUCCUUGCUGGUCUUAAUGAGUCAUAUUCAAUCAUCCGAAGAUAAAUCAUCAUGAAGAAAGUUCUGCCUUCCCUUGCUGAAGUUUACAACAUCCUUGAUCAUGAGAAUCAGAAGAAUUUCUCUAAUGUUGUUAGUCCUCCAGCAGCAUUUCAAAUUCUUAAAAUGCUCUCUCUCCCAAUGCUGUUUGCUAUGUUCAGAGUGGACCAAACAAAGAUCGUCCUAUCUGUUCAUUUUGCAACCGAGUUGGACAUAUUGCAGACAGAUGCUAUAAGAAGCAUGGUUUUCCUCCUGGCUUCACUCCUAAAGGCAAAACUCCUUCGGAUAAAACUCAGAAAAUGACUCCUCCUAUUGCUGCUCAAGUGGCUUUAACUCCAGUUUCUGAGAGCAAUCCUCCGAAUCUUCAAGGUCUUAUUGGAAACCUUUCAAAUGAUCAGAUACAGAGUUUCAUCGCUCUUUUCAGCUCCCAACUUCAGAACUAAUCUAUUAACCCUUCUUAUGAAGCGAGUCCUUCUCAGUCUGGUGAUUAUUCGGAUAUCUCCUUUUCCCCCUCUACUUAUUGCUUUGUUGGGAUCCUCGCUGUUUCUCAACACACUCUAAGCACUCAAUCUUGGGUGAUAGACUCUGGUGCUACUCAUCAUGUUUCUCACAAUAAAGAUUUCUUCAUCUCUUUGGAUACUUCUAUUGUGAGUUAUGUGAAUCUCCCCACCAGAUCUAAUCUCAAGAUUAGUGGAGUAGGGAUUAUAUGAAUCAAUGAAGACUUGAUUCUCAACAAUGUCUUAUUCAUCCAUGAAUUUAGACUGAACCUGAUCAGUAUAAGCUCCUUGACUACAGAUCUUAACUCCAGAGUUAUAUUUGACACUUCUUGCUGUGAAAUACAGGAUUUUACCAAGUGGUCGACAAUUGGAAGGGGUAGAAUCAUUGGAAAGUUCUAUGUGUUGGACACUCAGUCUUCAUCAGCUUUGUUGAAUGCAGUGAUAGAUGUGAGUAUUUGGCACAAGAGACUCGGUCAUGCUUCCUUCUCAAGAUUGGAUACCAUCUCUGAUAUUUUAGGAACCACCAAGCAUAAAAAUAAAGGAUCAGCUUUCUGUCAUGUUUGCCAUCUUGCAAAACAGAAGAAGCUUUCUUUCUCCUCUUCAAAUAAUAUGUGUAAUACAACAUUUGAAUUGUUUCACAUUGAUAUAUGGGGACCCUUUUCAGUUGAAACAGUUGAAGGAUAUCGAUAUUUCUUAAUUAUAGAGUAUAAUCACUUCAGGGCUACAUGGAUGUAUCUUCUCAAAUCAAAAAAUGAAGUUCUAUCUGUGUUUCCUGCUUUCAUACAACAAGUCGAGAACCGAUACAACAGUAAAGUCAAAUCUGUCAGAUCUGAUAAUGCUCCUGAGUUGAAAUUCACAUCCUACUAUCAAGAAAAAGGGAUAACUGUAUUUCACUCUUGCCGGGAAAUUUCUGAACAGAAUUCAGUAGUUGAACGAAAACAUCAACCCCUUCUAAACUUAGCUCGUGCACUGAUGUUCCAAGCUCAAAUCCCUCUUGGAUAUUGGGGAGAUUAUGUCUUAACAGCUGCAUUCCUCAUUAACAGAACUUCUUCUGCACUUCUGCAGAACAAAACUCCAUAUGAAGUUCUAACUGGUAAGGCUCCAGACUACUCACAGCUCAGAACCUUCGGAUGCCUUUGCUAUAUGGUUCCACUUCUAAAAAAAAAGGCAUAUGUUUCAACCUCGUUCUCAUGCUUGUGUGUUCUUGGGUUACCCUGCUGGUUAUAAGGGAUAUAAAUUGCUUGACUUGGAGAGCAAUACCGUGUUUAUAUCAAGGAAUGUGACGUUUCAUGAAGACAUAUUUCCUCUGGCUACAGAUUCAAAGUCUAUAUCAUCUUUGGAUCUAUUCACACCACUGGAUUCUUUGCCUUCAGGUAUUCCAAUUCAAACACUAAUACUUCUAACAACUCUCCCAUAUCACCAACUUCUUCUCGUACAAAGAAAAUACUCGCUCAUCUACAAGAUUAUCAUUGCUAUUCAAUGCAUUCUGAUCUUGUAUAUCCUAUAUCAUCUUCCAUAUCUUACGAUAAUGUUUAACCAUCUCAUUUAUCCUAUAUCAAUUCCAUCACCAAAAUUUCAAUCCCUCAUACAUAUACUGAGGCAAAGAAUACUAAAGAGUGGUGUGAUGCAGUGGAUACUGAACUUGGUGCAAUGGAGAGAACAGAUACAUGGGUCGUUGAUACUUUACCACCAGGGAAGAAGGCAGUGGGUUGUAAAUGGGUAUUUACACUCAAAUUUCAUGCUGAUGGAAGUCUUGAACGCCACUGAUGUUGGUGUGGUGUGUCGUGUCGAGAGUUGUCAAGUUUUACCCUAAAUGAAAUCAAUAGCCGCAAGUGCACAGCUGAUCGAUUGUAGUAACUUAGGGAUCGAAUCCACAGGGAAUGAGGAUCUUUUCUGCAAAAGCUUUCGAAAGAAAUAUAAAGUAAGGAAGUCUAGAACCAAACGGUUUUGUGGGGGUUUUGGUGGUGUGUUUAAAAUGUAAAAACGAAUCGUAAAGAGACAAUACGGGAAUUAAAAUGACCUAAUAACUAAACUUAACGAAAACGGGUAAAAACGGGAAAUCGGCUAACCUAAUUGCUUAAAUGAAAAUCGAUUGAAAAGGAAUGAAAAUAUUGAACUAAAGCUUGAAAUAAAACGGUGUGAAUCUAUAAGAAAGAAAGUGCUGGGCUUCAGGGAAGUUUUCUCAGGGGUACGAACGAUUCAAAACAUUGCUAGAGAGUAAAUUUGAUAAGAUCUUAGCUUAAAAUUUUCGAACUGGAGUCACGGACGUAUGAAUACGCCACUGUCGUGAUCAUAGACAACUAUCUCUCUCAACCCUGACCAGUAGGUUUCUACUCUGGCCCUGGAAAAGUAGAGAUGCAUUAUGUUUAAGACUCGUCAGCAUUCACAAAUCGCCCAUAGGUAGGUUUCCACUCCUAUGUUUGUUUUGCUCUCCCAAACUAGAUCUGACACCGGAUGAACACUUUCGUGUCACCAAGCAUCUGGAUCAGAUUGUAGUUCAUGACGCUACUCUCAUGCAGUAAAAACGAAUUCAGAAGAAAAAGUUCUAAGAUUCGGCUUAAAAGCUUAUGGAAUCCUCAUCGAACAUAUAGAUCCCCAUCAAAAAUCCCUUAAUCCCAACAAUAAAACUACUCAGACAUGAUGAACGAAAUCAAAAACAUAGGAUUAAAAAGUAGAAUAGAAACCGAAAUUGAAAAAGAAAGAACAAGGGUUCAAGAGACAAAUCUUUCUCUCCCUAAAACCUAAAAACAAAGCGUAAAGUAAAAUUUCUGUAAAGUAUUUCGUCUCUCCUCUUCUUUUCUAAAAAAAUGACCUAAAUGACAUGUAUUUAUAGUCUCCAAUACUCUCUGGUGUCUAGGGUUCCAGAAUUGAGGCUGGGAAAGUGAUACGGGCUUCAGAAAUAGGCCUUCAAAGUCGGAGUUGGCUGACCGCGGUCGGGAUGAGUGUGACUGCGGGGAAUGGGUGGCUGGCCGCGGUCGCGGUGCUUCUGACCGCGGGAAAUGCUCUGCUGGCCGCGGGUGGAAACGCUUGCCGGCUGGUUUACAGGACAUCUUGCUCUUCGUAUAUCGUUUGAUUGAACCAUUGGAUUGCCAAGCUGUAAAGUGUGCUGGAAAGCUGAUACUUCCAUCUUUAAGGUCUCCAAAUUUGAGCUGGAUCAGACGGUGAGAAGGCCUUCAAUCAGGGGUGAACUUCUGACGGUUUGACUCUGAGCUGAAAUCUGGUUUUCUAUCCAUUUUGUUAAGCUUUUACCUAAGUUACCUGAAAAGAGUCUUGGAACAACAAAUACUAGAAAAACGUAAUAAAGUACUUAAAAGCAAUUAAAAACAUAGAAAAAAUAUUUCAAAACGAUCCAUAAAAUCGGUCAAAAUACGGUGUUAUCAACUCCCCCAGACUUAAACCUUUGUUUGUCCUCAAACAAAGCAAAAGCCUAAACUGGUUAAGUGAAAAGAAAAAUAGGGAAUGCACAAAUUUCAGAGACAUGAACUCCUAAACUAGGACCAAAGAUAGUGCAUCAAUCCACAACUUAGUCUAGAAAAUUAUCACCAAUGCACAAGAGAUACUAGUCCACUUUUUCCGUCAUGCAAAACUUAAACAAUCUAAAUCUUGAUUCCAGUCAACUAGCUCUCUACAUUCAUUAAGUUCAAUAGUGAGUUCUCAUUAAAGACAUCAUCCAGGGUAGACGGCGUUUGGCAUUAAAGGGCUGUUUAAGUGAUGGAGUUAAAGUGUUUCGGGUUACCUGAAGAUCUGGAGGAUGCAAGAUAAUAUGCAAAACCGGAAGAGAGAUAAGGACCUGUUGAUGACCGCAAUUUUCAGUCACUUCUUCUUGCCAAAUGUUGUUGCAUAAUCUUUCCUCCUUUGUUGUGAACAGCUAUUCCCCCAGACUUAGAUUCUUUAGGGGAAUCAGAAAAUGAUCUCCAAAACUCCAUAAAAUUAGACUCCAGUUGCCUUGGAACUUAAAAUUCGACCUCUCUAGACUCUCUAAGGCUUUUAUUUCCUUCUUUUCUUAUUUUCGGAUUUUUUUUUUCGAACAAGAAAUGUCUUUUAAAGAGAAAGAGACUAGAGGACGAGAUUGAACCAAAAUUUGAGAUUUUUCUAAGGCAAACUGAGCUUCCUCUUGUGUUGAAUCCUUCCGGGGACGUUUCCGACAAAUCGCAGGUCUCUGUCCUUGGUGACUGAAAACUGCGUCGUUCCUCUUUCUCUCCAACAUUUUUACACUUAUCUGCAUAUAAGACAAUAGAAAACAUGACUGCAUGUGGUUUGAAAGAGGAUUGGUUAAGGUGGGGAACUAGCUAAAGAUGAACUAGCCAUCCAUUAUCAACUGAGAGUGGUAAAAGGAUAAAGGAGUCCUGAAUGUAUGAUUCGUUUCCCUGGUCUAAUGCUUCAAUGAGAAAGUUAAGUCCAAAUUAAGUCGAAAUAAAACAGAGCUAGCGUAUCCCUUCAUCUAAAUCGAAAUCAUUCAAAUUCCUUUGGGGUACUUCGUUUCAAAUGUGCUUAGCUACCGCCUAGUCUAGUCCUAAAUCAUGAAUGAGCAUGUCACUAGGAAAAGUCUAAAAGCACACAGUCAACUAUCAUUGAUUCAUGUUCACCAUUCCCUUUAAAACGUAUUUUGUUUUGAAAACCGAUUUUGAAAAACUUUAAGGAAAAUGCAAAAAGUGUAGAUAAUGCAAGACUCAUGAAAGAAAAGUGAUUAGAAAGGGAUGAAAUCCUCCCCCAGACUUAAAUCACACUGUCCUCAGUGUGAAACAAGUCGAGAUUGGAUGAGAAAAACGCAUAGAUAAUCGAAUUGGUAAGGCCAAAGAGAACUUACCUGGAUCUGGGAUGCUGGUGGAGAUGAACCAGAUUCAUUCGAAGAGGUUUGGGAAGGUGAUAGGUGGUGAUGAAGGUGGUGGAGGGUGAUGAAUGAGGUGGAGUGGGGAUUGGUGAGGUGAAAUGAGGUGACGUGGGUGGUUUGGGGUCGGGUUUGAUCUCAAUGACCAUUUGCUGCGGUCAGGAGCCUCGCGACCGCGGCAAACCGGUCCUCGGCCGCGGUCAGAAGAACGCCGCCGCGGUCGAACAUAUGUUUCCUGCGGUCAGAGCAUCUGCGACCGUGGGGGCUUAUGUCGCGGCCUGUUCCUGCUUUUCCUUGGUUCCUGUCGGGCCGAGCAGUCAGGGACCAUCCUUCUUUUUGGUUUUUUCUGUUUUUUGAUUUUUUUUGGCUUUUUUGUUUUAUAAGAAACACCUGAAACUAAGAAGAAAAAAAAGAUCAAUAGAAAAAAAAAAAAUUCUAAAGAAAACAAUACCUAAAUGGGUUGCCUCCCAUUAAGCGCCUCUGUUUUAAGUCGUUUAGCUCAACUUUUGGUGUUGGACGUGGCUUAGUCCAAUGAAGAAGACCUUGUCCUGAGACAAGUCUUUUUCGACAUCUCCUUGCUUUGCCUAGCAGGUUCUUCGUCACUCCAAAGUUCUUCUUCAAACUCUUCUGUUGCAGCACGUUUUCCUGCUUUGCUGUUGUAUGGGACAACUUCUGUGAAGACAUCUUUGUCGAUAUUAGCAAAUGAAAUCCUCCUGUUUGGCAAGUCCAUUAUAGCUCCGGAAGUUGCUAAAAAAGACCAUCCGAGAAUCACUGGAUAUGUUGCAUCUCUCGUCUCGACAAUGUAGAAGUCGACAUGCACUAUGCAAUCUCCUAUUCUCAAAGGAAUUUCAUGAGCUAUUCCUUGAGGUGUUGCAUUGGAAUCAUCAGCUAGACUAAUCUUUGCUCUAGUCCUGCGCAGGUGUUUAAUACCAAGUCUCAAAGCAAUUACCUUGGACAUCAUGUUAAAACAAGCUCCAGAAUCACAAAGCACGUUUUUAAACAUUUCUCCUCUAAUAGAACAAGAGAUAAGAAACUGACCUGUAGUCUUGACCUUAUGGAGAAUUCGAACUUGCCUUUCUCUGUAGGUGUUGGCUGGUGUUUCAAAUGCAGAAUAGGAUUCACAAAAGAAAACUGCAGCGUCGUAUUCAAUGAUUGAAUCGAUGUAUGACAUCUUUAUCUCGCUACAUAUCUGGUCUUCUUGGAUUGAAGAGUCAGCUGAAUCUUCAACACAUUCCUUUGCCAUCAUACAAGGUAAUGAUUCCUGCCAAUCUGUUUCCUCAUCUGAAACUUGGUUUUCUUCUCCCUGAGUUGCUUUUUUAGGUGCUGGAGGUUGAAGUUGGGACAGAAGAUGUAUUAUUUUUCUCUCAAAUCCCGGAGGUGCAUCUGAGCGACCAACUCCCGCGGUCAGAGGCGUCGCGACCGCGGGAAAAGCACCCUUGGCCGCGGUCAGGAUGCUCGGACCCGCGGCUCCGGAUAUAACUUGCUCAUAGUCCGUUUCUUCCUUCUUGUACUUGACACAAACUUCUCCAGCUUCUUUAUUGGGUAGACCAGCAUCAUAUGAACUCAAACCAGGCGUUGUUGGUCAUCUUCAUCAGGAUUUUUGGGAGAUUUCUUAGAAAAUCUCUCAACUUGCUCAAUGUUGGGAAUCUGCUCCAUUCUUGCAUCAAUCUCCCGUGCUUUGAGCUCGAGUUUGUUCAGCCUGUGCUCGAUCUCUUGCAACUCUUCAUCUGUCUUCUCUCUAUACCAGGAGGCUGAUUCUCUGACUUCUUUAAUCUCCUGUUUCGAUUCGGCAAUAUCACUUGAGUUCUGUAUGAUGUCAUACCCUUGUCUCGUCUGCUCUGUUGCGACUUGGUGGAUCAUCCCAGCUAGUGUUUGUGCGUCCUUGUGGGUUUGCUCUUCCAGAACUCGAACAUGAUUGGACAUAUCAUCGAAUUUUCUGUUGAACUCUUCAGAGAUUGAAUCAAUUUCUUGAGGAGGGUGUUUUGGGUGAGAAUCUGCUGAUCAAGGAACUGGUUUAUCAUUCCUUCGAGGCGUCCCAAACGUCUGCUGAUCUUCAAGUUGUCCUCUUGCUGACUAGGAUUCUGCAGUGGAGGAUUAUAGGCGUGUGGCUCGAAGUAGGUUGGAGGAGGACCAUAAGGAUCUUCCCGACGUCGAACAGUCUCUCUGCGCCGGUGGUAAGGGUGGUUUGGCUGGCUGUAUCGAUCCAUGUAGCUAAGAUUUCGGGCUUGGUGUUCUUCUCUGCGUCUAGUGGCUUGAGGAGUGUUAUAGAGACCUUCCUCAUAGUGUGUAUUUUGAUUUAUAGGAUCCAUAUCUUCUGAAAUAGAAACAAAAUAACCGAAAAAUGGAAAUACAUGCAGAAAAAGGGGUUCUAGAGUCGAUUUACCAACCUUUCUUGGGGUUUUGCGGAAAAGAAAACGCGUGCCUUCCCCGGCAACGGCGCCAAAAACUUGAUGUCGGUGUGGUGUGUCGUGUCGAGGGUUGUCAAGUUUUACCCUAAAUGAAAUCAAUAGCCGCAAGUGCGCAACUGAUCGAUUGUAGUACUUAGGGAUCGAAUCUUCAGGGAAUGAGGAUCUUUCCUGCAAAAGCCUUCGAAAGAAAUAUAAAGUAAGGAAGUCUAGAACCAAACAGUUUUGUGGGGGUUUUGGUGGUGUGUUUAAAAUGUAAACGAAUUCAUAACGCUACUCUCAUGCAGUAAAAACGAAUUCAGAAGAAAAAGUUCUAAGAUUCGGCUCAAAAGCUCAUGGAAUCCUCAUCGAACAUAUAGAUCCCCAUCGAAAACCCCUUAAUCCCAACAAUAAAACUACUCAGACAUGAUGAACGAAAUAAAAAACGUAGUAUUAAAAACUAGAAUAGAAACUGAAAUUGAAAAAGAAAGAACAAGGGUUCAAGAGACAAAUCUCUCUCUCCCUAAAACCUAAAAACAAAGCUUAAAGUAAAAUUUCUGUAAAGUAUUUCGUCUCUCCUCUUCUUUUCUUAAAAAACGACCUAAAUGACAUGUAUUUAUAGUCUUCAAUACUCUCUGGUGUCUAGGGUUCCGGAAUUGAGGCUGGGAAAGUGAUACAGGCUUCAGAAAUGGGCCUUCAAAGUCGGAGUUGGCUGGCCGCGGUCGGGAUGAGUGUGACCGCGGGGAAUGGGUGGCUGGCCGCGGUCGCGGUGCUUCUGACCGCGGGAAAUGCUCUGUUGGCCGCGGGUGGAAACGCUUGCCGGCUGGUUUACGGGACAUCUUGCUCUUUGCGUAUCUUUUGAUUGAACCGUUGGAUUGCCAAGCUGUAAAGUGUGCUGGAAAGCUGAUACUUCCAUCUUUAAGGUUUCCAAAUUUGAGCUGGAUCAGACGGUGAGAAGGCCUUCAAUCAGGGGUGAACUUCUGACGGUUUGACUCUGAGCUGAAAUCUGGUUUUUUAUCCAUUUUGUUAAGCUUUUCCCUAAGUUACCUGAAAAGAGUCUUGGAACUACAAAUACUAGAAGAACGUAAUAAAAGUACUUAAAAGCAAUUAAAAACAUAGAAAAAUUAUUUCAAAACGAUCCAUAAAAGUGGUCAAAAUAUGGUGUUAUCAGCCACAAGGCUCGGUUGGUUGCUAAGGGAUAUACCCAGAAAGAAGGACUGGAUUAUACUGAAACUUUUUCACCGGUUGCGAAGCUUGCUACAGUCCGUUUGCUGAUCUGCUUCAAAGAAAUGGUUUCUGAAACAACUUGAUAUCUCCAAUGCUUUCCUGAAUGGUGACUUAGAUGAAGAAAUUUUUUUGAAGUUACCUGAGGGAUACGCUGAGAGGAAGGGGGGCUCUUUGCCUAAGAAUGAAGUUCUGAGACUUAAGAAAUCUUGAAACAGGCAUCUCGGCAAUGGUUUUUGAAGUUCUCUACCUCUCUGCUUCAAUUGGGUUUCACUAAAGGUUAUAGAGAUUGUUGGGAUUUAUGAGACAAAGCUCAACAAAUGGUGGAAGCAUUCACUUGGUGAAUGAAACCACUUAACCCACACAAAAUAAACUCGAUCUCAAGAGAGAGAAGAGACCAUCAACUUGUGAUGGAAUCCACACAAUAAACAUAAGUAGAACCGAAUCUAUGAGGAAGAAAACGAUUCUAUAAAGGGAAAGCAUCUAGUUUGAGACUAAUCUAAGCAAUGAACACAACACAUAGAGAGUUUGUGUUCUUGAGAUGCAAGACUCAGUAAUCUAGAUGAGAGAAGCAAAUAAAGAAGAGUUAAGUGAGUGUUUAUGAAGUGAUAAGGCUGCCUUAAGGGCAAUCACUACAAACGAUUUUCUCUAAGGACUCUACAUUGCGAAAUAGAAUGAAGAACAAGAUAAAAGAGAGAAAUCACUUCAUUGAUUCUGUGUAACAUUUACAAGCUCGGUUACAUCUCUUUUUAUAGAGAGAAAGGAAGAGAGGAAGCCCUAACACAUGAGCCAAGACUGAGAGUGACAUAAAGAGAGCGUUUUUGUCUUGUUAAGAGCUGAAAGUGACAGCUCAUAAACGGUCACAUGUGACUUUAGUCACAUGUGAGAGCAGACUUGAAUUUGAAUUCGUUUCCCUCCUCUUCUUGUCACUUAUGGGCCUUAUUCCUUGCAUUCUUUAGGCUUUCUUGGCGUCCUCUUCUUCUUCUUAUCUAAUGGGCCUCGGCCUUACACAACCUUAGACUUGUACGGACACCUCUUGGAGUUGACUUGGCCGUACAGUUCUUCUUCUUCUUUAGGCCGAGGCUAGACUUGAUCAAUAGCUUCUUCAGCCUUGUCUUGUCUUCUUUUUAUCUUCUUUGAGAGAUCUUGGAGUUGUCUUCGGCCUUGUCUUGAUGUCAUUGGCCUUGACACUCCUCUUCUUCCUCUUCUUUGACUUGGAGAUGAUCGGCCUUGUCUUGUUGACUUCGGCCUCACCUCUCCUUUCCUUCUUUCACUCUAAUAGAGAUCACACGUUUUUUGUUAAGGUUCAAGGAUCUGAUUAUGUUGCUGUUUUGGUGUAUGUGGACGACAUCAUUAUCGCCAGUACAACAGAACUUCUUGCAACUCAAUUAAUCUGUUCUAUUAAAAUAGAAGCACAUUUAGUGCUUGCAUCCAAACACUCAUAAAGUUUUUAUAAUAUUUUAUUUUAUUUUUAUAUUUAAUUUUCGAUAAUUAGUUAUUAAUUUAGAUAUUUUUAGAUUUCCUAAAAUCUAGAUCAUCUUUAAUUUAAAUUUCAAAUUAUUAGAAAUUUAAUUAAAUUUAAUUACAAAAAUUUGCAUUCAAUUUAAUUUAAAUUCAAAAAAUUCAAAAAAAAAUAUUAUUAAAUUUUAUUACGAAAAUUUAGAUAAUAAUUUAAUACUUUGAAAAUUUUUAAAUACAGGAGAGAUUUAAUUUAAAAUUUUAAAUUUAAAUAAUAUUUUUAUAAAAAUGCAUAGUAAAUAAAUAUUUUAUCGUAUUUUAUCAUAAUCAAUUGGUCUAAAAUAUCAAAUAUUUGAGAUUAAUAAAUAUUUAUAUUAUACAAUAAUAUGAUCGAGCUGAUUAGAGUUAUAUAUAUAUAUAUAUAUUUAAGGUCCAUGAGUUAAUUUAUUAAAACAUGUAAGAUAUUAAGAUGAUUUGAGACAAAUAAUAAAUAAAUAUCUUAUUAUAUUUUUUCAUAAUCAAUUGGUCCAAAUAUUCUAUAUUAGUAAAUAUUUAUAGGGUUAUACAAUUAUAAUUAUAGUCUUAUACGGGUUAGUUUGUCAAAACAUGUAAGAUAUUAAAAAUGAUUUAAGACAACUAAACGGAUGGAUUAGCAAGUUCAUAGAUAUAUAGAUUUUUUAUGUGUAAAUCUAAAUUCACAUAAUAACAAAGUUUAUAAUUAACAUUAGAUCAAUAUAUACUUAAUUAACGCAUACUCUUAUUCUACUAAUAUAUAAAUUUUACUGUUUAAAAUUAAAAUAUGAUAACAAUUUUUUGAUUUAAAAAAAUAAAUAACAAAAACAAAUUAUAUCUAAACAAAAAAGAUAAAUGCAACUUAUAUUAGAAAUCAAAAAUAAAACAUUCUCGUGCGGACGCACAGGGUUAAAAUCUAGUUGAUGCUUUGAAACAGAGUUUUAAACUUCGUGAUCUUGGACCUCUGAAAUAUUUCUUAGGUUUGAAAAUUGCUAGAACCUUUGCAGGCAUUUCUAUAUGUCAGAGGAAGUAUGCACUGGAUUACUCACAUCCACGAGCAUGCUUGGUUGCAAACCUUCUUUAAUUCCGAUGAUACCUAACCUCAAGAUGUCCAAGACUGAUGGUGAAUUACUUCCUAACCGAGAACAGUAUUGAAGUUUGAUUGGCAGACUGAUGUAUUUGACUAUCACCAGGCCAGACAUCACUUUUGCUGUCAACAAACUUUGUCAAUACUCUUCUGCUCCCCGAACAGCUCAUCUCCAAGCAGCUUAUAAAGUACUUUAAUACAUCAAAGGUAGUCUUGGCCAAGGUCUUUUUUACUCUGCCAAUGAUGAUGAUUUAGCUUUAAAGGGAUUUGCAGAUGCUGAUUGGGCGUCAUGUCCGGACAGUCGAAGAUCGACUACAGGAUUUUCUAUGUUUCUUGGAUCCUCUCUCAUUUCUUGGAGAUUGAAGAAACAACAUACGAUCUCUCGUUCUUCUACAGAGGCAGAGUACAGAGCUCUCGCUUUAGCUUCUUGCGAAAUGGUUUGGCUAGUCAUUUUACUCAAUGAUCUGCGCAUCAAUACCAGAAUCGUUCCCAUCUUAUUCUCUGACAGUACUGCUGUUAUCCACAUUGCGAUUAACCUUGUGUUCCACAAGAGAACUAAACACAUUGAGGUGGAUUAUCACACUGUUAGAGAAAAGUUGGACAAAGGCCUGCUUAAAACGCUCCAUGUUUCUACUGAAGAUCAGGUUGCAGAUAUUCUCACUAAACCUUUGUUCCCUGCUCAGUUUGAACACUUAAAAUCCAAGAUGAGUCUCUGCAAUAUCUUCGUCUCAUCUUGAGGGGGCCUAUUAGACUAAGUAUAGCUAAACCGAUUUCCUUUCGAUGAUUUAACUCUAAAUUAAUUAGUUCUUUAGUUUAGUUCGGUUUAAUAACAAACUCAAUUGUAUAUAAGAUUGUAACAGACUUCAUUUGGAAUUAAUUGAGAAAUUUCUCCAACAAACUUUCUCUCAAACUUGUUUUCUCCAAAUCUUCUGCUAACAACCUUCAAUAUCCUACAAGUAAACCACCACAUAACAUUUAUAACUAAUACAUAAUAAAAAAACAUUUGAAUUAUUUUCUCAUGAAUAAAAAUUGUGUUAGGCCGCAAGUUCAAGCUAACGUCAAACUUUGUGUUUGGUAAAAUCCAAUAUGGAACCAUUGGCGUUCAAGUGCUUGCAUUAGCAUCAUACAAAAAAAAAAACAAAGCAACGAUUAUCUAGAAGUCUAUUCAAUAUAGAACGUCAAAUUAAUUGUUUACUCUUAAUGUUCAUUAGAAACUGAUAUUAUAUAGCUUUCCACACAUAAAAUUAACUUCCAAACACCUAAACACCCCUAUUUUUCAUUACUUCUUUUUUUAGAAAAGUCAGCCACCAGUACAACCAAUUGAUUGGGGCAAUAAUAAGAAAUAUCAAUUUUAUAUAUUUUUUCAUUCAUUGUACCAAAAACAUCCAUCAAUAUGCAAUAGACAUAACAAGAAAAGCCAACAUUAUUGAAAUCACAAACAGUUCAUAACAAUACAAACAUAUAUAUAUAUAUAUAUAUGAUACAGAAAUCCUCCCAUAACUAAUAUAGAGUAUGCAUGAAACAACUGUCCGGGAACGGAAAUUGCUACUUUACGGAGGCGCCGGAAGUUAGUCAACGGCGUCUAGCAGCGGUCUCACGUUGGCAGUUGAAGAAAACAGCUGCGACGGGGAGGCCGAGAUCGUUCUCAUGAGCAAACAUUCGAGUGUUGAAUUGGUCUCUGUAAGAUGGCACAGCAACCACACUUCCUCUCCGGUUUUGCUUGAAAAGCAAAUACACAAAUCGGUGGAUCCCUAUGUUUGGUCGAGGCAUCUCGUACCCUACUAUUUCCUUUCCUGUUUAGUAUUUUCAUAUCCGAAAUUUCGUCAGAAACAGCUUUGUUUUCUUGUAGUGGUAUGUAUAUGAAACAAAUUUGUUUUUGUCGUCUAUAACAUACACGCACACAUUUCUUGAGGUAUAAACCGUGUUUUAUCAUGAUAAUAACACUAUUACAACCCAGUAUAUUAUAAAUCCAUUACAUAUAUUAUGUUAUUUGUAUUUAAAUAGUAAUUGACAUGUAUAUGAAACUUUUUUUCCCCUUUCUUGUUUAUAACUUUCACAUGCAGAAACACGAAAGUAACAAUAAUUUAAACAAUUAGGCUACAAUAUUCCGGAUUCUAUGAAACUAAUGAAGGGUGCAUAAAUAUAUGAUAUGUUAUUUGUUUGACAUUUAUAUGGAAAAUAGUGUAUAUUGACUUACCAAAUGUCACGUCGGUUGUCCCCGGGAUAUCGGUAACAAUCCUGAGAUUGAUCAUUGGAAACAAUUGUUGUAUAUAUUUACGCAUAAAAUUAUGUCUCUUAAGAAAAAUUGAGAGGAAAAAAUUUUACCAGUGCAAGUGCUCCCUCAGAUAAGGAUCACUAGGUCCAGGAACAUCAGGAUCAGUCAUGACCUGUUUGAAAUAUUUUAUAUUCAUGAAUAUAUAUAUCUACACGUGACACAUCCUAUAUCUACAUAAAUAAGCACAACACAUAGUCACAUAUGUAUCUGCAAAAAAACUAAUUCGCUCUGAAAAUUAAAAGUCUAUUAUAUAUAUAUAUAUAUAUAUAUAUAUAUAUAUAUAUAUAGGGUACUGGAAACAACUGCAUACGAAGAUAAUAUAACUAACUAAAUCUCAUGUAUUCUGCAAAAAAAGGAUUCAAACAAGUCCCUUUACAAAACCUAGGGUGGAGAAAAUGUCUUAUUUAUGAAAUAAAGAGAAGCACAUGAAUAAGUGUACACCAAAAACAAAGCUUAGAUGUCCCAUGAUCGAAAUCGAAUGACACUUGGGAUCGGACCAUAUACAAAUAUGUUUUGAUUCCGGAUCUAGGGAAACUAUAUAGUAAAAAUAUAGCGCAUGGAGAAAUGCCUAUUAAGAAAGCAAAUUAGGUAAGCCAAUUUCCGCCAUACCAUAAACGUAAGGUUUGGUAAUUGAAUCAUAUAGUAAAUUGGAUUUCUAUAAAUACCAGUAGAAAAUUGCUUACCAAAGUGAAGAAUGAUCUCAUGUCACCCCCAUGAACAUCAACCUUAGGUUUGUUUGUGACUGUGGAAGGGAAAAUUUCAUGGCCAUUGUAGACUUGCUUGUCGGAGUUAUAAGUCACUGUCAUUUUCACCGCCUGCAAACAGUUGUCCACAACGUCUCCGAUCACUCUACCAACUAUAAGCGGGUCUGACGAAAUCCGGGCCAUCUCGAUUGCUUCUUUUAGAGUUUAGAAGAAGAAAAACAAAGAAUGAGUUUGAAAGAUCAAACGUUUCAAAAUAAGGAAAUAAUGUUUGAUGAAAUUUUGUGUAUGUGUUGGUGUGGGGAUAGACAAGCUUGGGCUUGCUUUGGGGGAUCGGAUUUGUUAAUGUUGAUUCAAUGAAGACAUAAAGUCAGAACAACAUGUAUUUAUAGGAUUUUAGAGAAUAAAUGGCCAUACUGAAUUUGAUUUGACGUUUAGAUCCAAAGAACUUCGAGAUGUAUGAGUUGGCCUUUUCCAACAACAAGAACAUUUUUUAAAAAUUCUACAUAGUGUCAUCCACUAAUAUCUGAGUAACUUUGCAGACGUUUUCAGGUUAUGAAACUGUUUUGUAUUGGACACAAGAAAUUAUACGUCUAGGUUUACUUAUAAAAUGUAUAUCCAAACAUGAAUUAUAAAACAUUAGUUGUUUUUGAGGAGACAAGUAUUUACAUGAGAAAUGAUACUCUUUAAUACAACCUAAUGGAUUUAAUAUUAAACCAGAUUAAAUAAACAUAAUGGAUUGCGUGAUUAGAAAUAUUCUCACUAAUUUUGUAACUCAAAUUUUAACAAAUUCGUCUUGUAGUUAUCAUUCUGGGUGAAAAAAAUUAGUAGCCAAGUAAUUAUGUUUUUAACUUUUAAUUGUUAUAAUUAUUUUUAAUAUGAGAGAAUAUCUAGACUCGGGAAAAGAAGAGAAAUGUGUGAUACAGCCAUGUUCAUCUCUAGCCAUUAUUUAAACAGAAGUCGAAUGUAUCAAGUAGUGGGAUUGGGAAUUUAGCUUUUUCUUUUUAUUUUUUUAACUGAAUUUUUAAAAACUUAAUAGAAAAUUAACUCAUAAUAUACAUUUAUUUAAGAAAAAAUUCGCCAUACGUCGUCGGAAUAUCUUCUAAGAAAAACACCGGUCACUUGUCUAACUCCAAAAAAAAAAUAUAAACUAUUAUACAAAGCAUUUAAAAAAUAACGUGUUAAUCGACUAUAGAAAUAUUGUUGAGAAUUUAGGUCGAAAUGAAUUAGAAUAAAGUUGAAUAAAAAACGAAAAAUACUUGUUUUAGAAUUUAUAUAAUAUUAUGUGAUAGAUGAUUAUAAAUUCUUAGACUUUGUAUUUAUAAGUUCCAAAAACCUGAUUUCUAAUUUUGAAUAGUAAUUAAAAAAAAAUCCCAAUAGAAAACUAUACCGUUGUGACGUUGUCCCCUAAACCCGAUUCCUAAUCCUUCGGUCUGUUACAUUUUUCUGCUAGCUCAAGCUGAUACUGAGAUACUCAUAACAUAAUACUCCUACAUUAUAUUUAUCAUUUAGAAACAACAGAUGUAGAUCGACGUCUACAAGCAGUGUACAUGUCACAUUUAAUUGUAUUUAUUGAAAGUACAUUUGUUUUUCUUAUGAAGGUAGAUACAUUUAACAACUAAUCUCGAAACAUUAAGAUUUCGCUUGGUCCAGUUAUCAUAUUUAGCAAAAGAAGAACAGAUUUUGCUCCCACGUACGGGUUUUAUCUAGCUAUAUUAACUAGUUUACACGUUAAAAAUAUUUUUUUUUCAGCUUUAUAUAAGUUCCUUAAGUCCGUCCUUAGCACUAAAAAAAAAGAAUUUGUGCGUUAUAUUUUAAAAACAUUCGAACCUAUGAGUGGCUCAGAAGUGGCAGAUUUACCAAUAUGGUCCUAAGAAUUCUUCAAUUAUACAUGCAUGAGAUUUCUCCAAUUUAUUAAAUAUAUUAACCAUCAGAGAAAUGUUAAUAAAAACUAUAAUAAAAAAGGAACCUUUUUUUUAUUCCAAGUGUCAGUGUCCACCAUGAAUCACAGCUUUCGUUGUUCAGUAUUUUUUAUAUGAAAAAAUAAAGAAAGAUAGAAACUUCAAGUGUCAUUAUUCCGUUUAUAAAUCUAAAUGUAACUUUUGCAAUAAGGGUAACAAGAAAACUUAACAUUUCUAGAAAAGUAAUAAAAUUUCAAAUAUAUGAGGAAAAGGAAAUAUAUUCUCUGUUAGGUGUGUGGAUGUAUUGCAAAGAAUAUAUCCCAAAACAACUAAUAUUAUUCUUUGGACUUACCAUAUUUGGAAAUGUUAAUGUUGGUGACCCAUAAACCACAAAAUGCGUUUCCCACACAUACAAAGGCUGACAAAUUGCGAAAGGUCACUUCAGUUUCAGAAAAAAAUAUUCAUUUCUUUUGUCACUCUGUUUUCCCCUUAUAUAUAUAUACCUUUACAUUAAAAAAUUAUGAAGUAGACAAACAAGAUUUGGGUUUCCUCUUAUGGAGUUUCUUUCCUUUUCCAUCUAACUGUCUUCAGAUGACACGUUACAAGUGUACUUUGCAUGUGAUCAUGAUAAUAUUUUUUAAUUUAAAAUUAUCUUAACUAAGGUUUUUAUUUCUUCAUCUAUACUUGAGCUUGAGCAUAUGCACCCACAACGAUUUGUGACACAACAUGUCAUAUCUUGUCUUAUAUUCGCAAGCCUUGUGAGAUAUCUUUUUUUCUCAGGUAGAUAAAACCGACACUUCACUUUUUCCCCUUAAAGUUAAAAUGGAUCUCGAGCCAAUAGAAAGCUCGUUGAUAACAUCACAUAUAGAGCCGUAUUCUGUGACUUCAAUCAACUAUAAUUUAUUGGAAACUUUGUACUACAAUAUAGCAUACUAAAACUAUAACAUAUGUGUACUUAUGUGGAUACUGUUUCAACUUUUAUUACUUGAUUUUUCUACGAUAUAUAUAUAUACCAUACUGAUAAUUCAUCAUGGAUGAUGUAAACAGUUUUGUAGUGGGCGACUGAGAAGAGAGAGGAUUCUCAAAGGAGAGCAAGGUCAAAUAGCAGACCAUGGACCGAAAUCUGAUAUCAUAUGGUUCAUGUUUAAUCUGAAAUAGUGAACCACGAUGGUUCAUGUUUAGUCUUAGGUUAGCUUAGGUUAGAUGUAUGCCAACCAUGGAACGAAAUCUGAUAUCAUAUGGUCAUUAGAUUGCACUCUACCGAACCUAAUAACUCAGUACCAAAAGAGUUAUCGUCACGUAAUAACAUAACAAUUGGAAAAUCAAUUAUUGUUGGAGACAAAAGUUUAAUCGUUAUUUAAAUUAAGUCACAAGGAAGUUUUGUUUUGAAACAGAACCUCUAUAAUAAGUUAUCAAUCUUCAACUCCAUGUGUGGCCAACCCAAUCAAUAUUCUGAUUAGUUGCUAAGAUCCAAUACUGAGCUGUUUGCAAACAAAGAACCCUGAAGUAAGCAGACCAAAGACCGAGAAGGCUCCUUGCCUUGAACGCCAAAACUCAGUCCAUGUCAACGGUCUUUUGAUUUCAGACAAAACCAAAUUGAACUGUUGGUUGAGUUCGUCGAGACCGCCAUUAUUAUCGAUCACAACAUCAGCUCUGCUUCUUUUCGAAUCCAACGACAUCUGAGCCAUCACUCUGUUUCUUGCAUCUUCCUCACUAAGUCCAUCUCUCUCCAUCAGUCUCUCGAGUUGUGUUUCUUCACUGACCCACACAACUACAAUGGGUUUUGUCAAUUUAUCCAUCUUUGCUUCGAACAACAACGGGAUAUCAACAACUAUCACUUGAGCUCCCUUUGCCCAUUGUUUCAAAAUUUCCCAAAAGAUACCACUUGAUACGUACGGAGCCAUAAGCCUAAAACAGCAAUCAAUUUUCAUGAUCUCAUCCAAUAAACAAAAAAAUAAGGGGAGUUCUCAGUUUCUUACUUGUUUAGAAGUUGGCGUUUGGAAUCGGAUGAGAACACCAUCUGACCAAGUUUUGGCCGGUCUACUUCUCUACUAGGAAGCAGAAUCUCCUCCCCAAAGGCUGCAACUACUCUUUUCCACCCACCACUUCCUUUCUUUAAUACAUUCUAUAUAGCAAACACACACACAAUUCCGCAGCUUUUGUUAACUUCUCUUUAGCUAGAUUGCAUCUAGGAUAUGGCCAAUUUACUAUGAUGAGCUAACUAAUAAAGAAAGAUAAAAAAUUGCAAAAAGGCAGAGACUUUACUCGAGCAACGACAUCAGCGUCAACAACGGGAAUGCCACUAGCCUUGAAGAGGUUGGAGACUGUACUCUUCCCAGACGAUAUGCCUCCUGUUAACCCGACUAUUCUCAUUCUCUUUUUUCCUCUCUUUUACUCCUCAGGAACACUUAACUUGUUUUCUCACUGUGAGAAACACCCAAGACUAAAAAUGAGAUCUUUUAGAAAUCAAUGCUUACAACAAACAAUUGGCAUCUGGGUUUUUCUGAACAAUCAGCAAAGACAACUACAGCAUCAAAACAAAUUUGUAUCAAACUAGAAACAUUUACGCACAACACAUCACAGACAGGAAAGACAAGGACAAAGAUCACAUAAAGAUAGUCACUUAUAACAACAGGACAAUAUCUGAUUCCGAAACAUGACCUUAAUUAGCACUUAAGCAGCAUCAUCACUUGAAACAUGAAAAUGGAACUACCCAAGAUCCUAGAUAAAAUAAAACAGUUUGACACUCUUGGUUCUAAAGAAUCAAAUACAUUAACAAUACAAAACCAGUAAAUUAUGUGUUUAGAGGGAAAGAUACUCACAUCAGUACCACUGAUGGAUGUCACUGUUUCUCUUAAGAAGUGUUAGCAACUAUCUACACAAAAGGAGCAAAACUAUGAUUCUGAACAGUAUAAACAUAGGAAACGAUAAUCAAACAAGCUAUAAAGCUAUAAAACAUAAGAAGAGGAGACAAGAUUAAUUACAUGCUACUAUAAACAGGUGUCAGACUUAGAACUUAAGUUGCAAAACACAAAUACAUAUGCUUCAAAUAAAGAACAACCGAUAGUUCAAACAACAACAACACACAUACGAUUAAAAGCGUACAAAUACGAGCAGUUCUAAGCAUAAACUGUGAGAUGAGAAAAACAGAGACGCUGAGAUGAGAUGAGAGAAAAUGAACAAGAAUCAAAAGGCAUAAGUUAGAGUUUCAGCGAUACUGUAAUCUAAAUAAGCAAAGCACAUAAUAACCUUUCCAAUAAAAGCAAAGCACAUGAGUUAUAUUUCUGAAUGACUUCUUCAAACCCCGCUAUAUUCACAAAUAAUAAACGACCAAUACCAACUAUAUAUUAGAACCAUUGAUUCAACAACAACCUCAUACUUGUUCAUACUUAAAACCGAAACAACAAUUGAUGCAUAAACAAGUAAACCCAGAAGACUAAAAUCCAGUAAGAAAUUGAAAUUGAGCCUCAAUCGAUGUCUAUAAAAGCUAAGAGCUAAAAGAAAAUUGAAUAAAAGAAAGAGGAGAAGCUUGCCUGUGUGAGAAACUGCCGGAGCGGCUCGCCGGGGGAGAGGAUCAGAUCGCCGGAGUGACUCUCCGGAUAGAGAAGCAGGUCACCGGAGUGGAGUGAGAGAUGAAUGUCGGAUAAGAGAGUGAGAGUUGAAUAUCGGAGAAGAGAAUUGUCGAGAUAAUCUAGGUUUUUUUGGGCAAUUCUCUAAAAUGACACAAAAAAACUGGUUGACAAACAUAACAUUCUCAUUUAUACCAAACACUUAUUCUUGCGUACCAAACAACUUAACCAUACUAUUAAAAAAAAUUUGUCGGCUUCAUCGAUAAACAAAAAAAAAACCAAUAUUUCAUUUUUUUUUACUGAAUCAGUUUCAUAUGAGAUUAGCCAGAUGAUCCCGAAAAUAUGUCCAUAAUUUUUAAAACUCACUUGAUUCAUCUGAAUGUUGAUCAUUUUAUUUACUAGACAAACAUCGAUUUUCACCUUCAUCCAGAUGCGUGAAACAAACAGACCCUCACUAUAUCUGAAGUUUCCUAGUAAAACCGCAACUAUCAAUUAUUAUAAAUUUCCAGAAUUUCAAGGAGGAAACAACAAACAAAUCAUUAGCUAAACAAAAAUGAGAUAUGGAUUGCUAACCCAAAAGUCAAAACCCAUUUCACGAAAAUAUAAAACGUAAAAGUAGAAAACGAAAAAAAAUGAAUGUAAUAAUCUCAGUUUUUCUUCCUUUGUAUCUUGGGAAUGGAUUCGACAUAGAGAAUUGAUAACACAAACUCUACAAACGUGAGAGAGAGAAAAAAAAAGAGAAACGCGUUUUUGAAUCAAAGGGGUGAUAUUUCUCGAAACCCUUAUCGACGUCUUCUGUGAAAUCUGAAGACAUUAAUAUUAGAGUGUAGUUUGUAUAUAACUCAUACUUAGUCAUAUACGUGUGAAUAUUAGGAUCAGUAAGGGCUCUGGAAUUGUCCGGUUCAUAUCUAUUUAACUUCGGUAUAGAUUCGGUUAGUUUAGUGAGUAUAUGUAUAAAGCCAUGUAACAAACUCUUGAUUUCAUUAAUGAGAAUAUCUGAGUUUUACAAACAACUUCUCUCUCGAUGAUGAACACUAAUAUGGUAUCAGAGCUCUUUUCGCUCAAAUCUCUGUGAUUCAUCUUCGUUUUCGCUCAGAUUUUUCAUUUUGUUGUUGUUUUCACCGUUUAAACUUCGAUAAGAAUCGGAAUCUGUGUUGCGAUUGACGUUUGAAGCGCUUGAAUCACCUUUGGGAGUUCAAAUUUCUUCGAUUCUUCGACACAUUGAAGCUCAAAUCGUUUGUGAUGGCGAAACAAGGCAAGAAAACUCAUGGUCGAGCUGAGGUCCAAGACGAAUCAACCGCUGAUGCUUUUCUCCCAAACGAAGACAUCACGAUGACUCCACCUAUGGAUUUCGCAAAUCGACGCACCAGAUCUGGUUCCAAGCAGGAAUCGUAUGACAGUGUUCAUAGUCAUUUCUUCCUACACUCCGCCGAUCAUCCAGGUCUUUCUAUCGUUACUCACACUCUCGAUGGAUCUAAUUACAACAAUUGGUCAAUAGUUAUGCGUAUGAGUCUUGAUGCAAAGAAUAAACUUAGCUUUGUUGAUGGAUCUCUACCGCGACCUAACGUUGAUGAUGAUCUGUUUAAGAUCUGGAGUAGAUGCAAUAGUAUGGUUAAGACGUGGAUACUGAAUGUAGUGAAUCAGGAAAUUUACGAUAGCAUUCUCUAUUAUGAUGAUGCAGCUGAAAUGUGGACUGAUCUUUUCUCGAGAUUCAAAGUCAGUAAUCUUCCCAGGAAGUAUCAAUUGGAACAGGCUAUUACAUCUCUUAAACAAGGAAAUCUAGAUCUAUCUGCAUACUACACGAAGAAGAAGACUCUGUGGGAGCAGUUAGCAAACACUAAAACUACCAUCGUUAAGAGAUGUAAUUGUGACCAUGUCAAGGAACUCCUGGAGGAAGCUGGAACAAGCAAGAUCAUACAGUUUCUUAUGGGACUAAAUGAAAACUUUGCUAAUAUCCGAGGUCAGAUCUUGAACAUGAACCUCGACCUGGAUUGACUGACAUAUACAACAUGCUUGAUCAAGACGAGAGCCAAAGAUUUGUUGGAGGAUCAACUCAACCUUCCUUUUCUAAUCCGGCUGCUUUUCAGACUCAAGCUACUCCAAUCAGUGAUCAGUCUCAGAUCCUUCUAGCUCAAGGGGGCUUUCAAAAGCCAAAAUGCUCUCAUUGUCACAAGAUGGGACACACGGCUGAUAAGUGUUACAAAUUGCAUGGGUACCCUCCGGGUUCUGGUCCAAAGUGGAAGAAGUCUCAGACUGUCGGUGCCACGAACCUUGCAGCCACACCAUACCUGAACCAAACAGAGCAGAAAUGUGAUCGAUCUGAGUCUUCUUAUGAGGACAUGUCAAAGGAUCAGAUCCAAACCAUGAUUUCUUAUCUAAGUUCUAAGCUUCAGAAUUCAUCUGCGAAAUCUAUACCUGAAAAGAUUGUGCUUCGACUUCAAACUCUGUACCUGUUGUCUCCCAGAUAUCAGGUACAUUUCUGGAUCUAUACUCUAAAUCUUAUUAUGACAUGCUUGUUUCAUCUAUCUCUACGGAACCAGCUGUGUCUCUUAGAGCUUGGGUCAUAGAUUCCGGGGCUACUCAUCAUGUUACUCACAAUAGGAGCCUUUACACAGGAUAUAGACCGCUAAAUAGAACCUUUGUUACUCUUCCUAAUGGCUAUACAGUCAAGAUAGAAGGCAUAGGAUUCAUUCAAUUAACUGAUGCUAUCUCUCUGCAUAAUGUGCUUUACAUACCUGAGUUUAAAUUCAAUCUCAUCAGUGUCAGUGUUUUGACUAAGACGUUGCGUAUUAAAGUCAGUUUCACAUCUGAUGAAUGGUUUAUUCAGGAACUUACACAGGCAUUGACGAUUGGUCACGGUAGUCAAGUUGGAAAUUUAUACAUUCUGGAUAUCAAUGAGUCUAGUCAUGUUGUUUCUUUAAAAGGUACUUCGACCAUCUGUUCAUCUCCACCUGUUUGUUCUAGUGUCUUGGCUGAUGUUCAUACUUGGCAUUCGAGAUUGGGUCAUCCAUCUCAAAACAAAAUCGAUUUUGCUUUCUGAUGUUUUACAUUUGAAUGUUUCAAAACGAAUGAAUAAAAAGGAUCAUGUUUGCCAUAUUUGUCAUUUGUCCAAGCAAAAACGUUUACCAUUCCCUUCUGGACAUAACAUUUGUAAAGCAUCAUUUGAACUUGUUCACAUAGACACAUGGGGUCCUUUUUCUGUUGCUACUGUUGAUGGUUUCAAAUAUUUUUUGACAAUAGUUGAUGACUAUAGCAGAGCAACCUGGAUUUACCUAAUGAAAUCUAAAUCGGAUGUAUUGCAUAUCUUUCCUAGUUUCAUUGCAAUGGUGGAAACUCAAUAUGGAACUAAUGUUAGGUCUGUUUGAUCUGAUAAUGCUCAUGAAUUGAAGUUCACUGAUUUGUUUAAUUCAAAAGGCAUAGUUGCAUAUCAUUCAUGUCCGGAAACUCCUGAACAAAACUCUGUAGUUGAGAGAAAGCAUCAGCAUAUAUUGAAUGUAGCAAGAGCCUUAUUAUUCCAAUCUAAUGUUCCCUUAGAGUUUUGGGGGGAUUGUGUCCUAACCGCAGUGUUUUUAAUCAAUAGACUACCGAGCCCUGUACUUGAAAACAAGUCUCCUUAUGAAAAGUUAACUGGCAAAUCUCCUGAUUAUAAGUUUCUUAAGAACUUCGGUUGUUUGUGUUACAGUUCAACAUCCCCAAAAGGUAGACAUAAGGCUAGAGCCUGUGUGUUUCUAAGAUAUCCAGCUGGUUAUAAGGGCUACAAGCUAUUAGAUAUAGAGACAUAUGCUGUUUCCAUUUCGAGGCAUGUCAUUUUCCAUGAGGAUAUUUACCCUUUUGUAUCUUCCAACAUCAAGGAUGAUACAAAAGCAUUCUUUCCUCAUUUACAGUUUCCUGCUUCCCAUGAUGAACAUUUGCCUCUAGCGCAAUCAUCUUCUGAUACACAUACAACUAAUGAUGUGUUAUCUUCUGAGGCUUUUACUCCUUCUGAGUCUAAGUCUCGCAGACAAAAGAAAAUCCCUAAACACUUGCAGGACUUUCAUUGCUAUAACCUUACUAGUACUAUUCUAUAUCCCAUAUCCAAUUAUAUCUCUUACUCAUAUCUAUCUGAGCCUUUUCGAGCCUUUAUUAAUACUAUCACCAACCACAUUGUACCACAAAAGUAUUCAGAAGCCAAGGAUAUACAGGUCUAUUGUGAUGCGAUGAAAGCUGAGAUUGGGGCUAUGAAAAGGACUCAUGCAUGGAGUGUUUGCACUUUACCACCGAACAAAGUUGCUAUAGGUUGUAAAUGGGUCUUUACAAUCAAACAUCAUGCGGAUGGAAGUGUUGAGAGGUAUAAAGUGAGGUUAGUCGCUAAAGGUUAUACGCAACAAGAAGGUCUAGACUAUGAAGAAACCUUCUCCCCUGUUGCUAAACAUACUACUGUUCGGAUGCUAUUCAUUCUUGCCGCAAAGAUGAACUGGUCAGUCAACCAACUCGACAUCUCUAAUGCAUUCCUCAACGGUGACUUAGAUGAGGAGAUAUAUAUGAAGAUUCCUCCAGGAUAUGCCGAUUUACAGGAUGAGCAAUUACCUCCUAAAGCUGUUUGUCGACUUCAUAAAUCAAUAUAUGGUCUCAAACAGGCUUCUAGACAAUGGUUUUUGAAGCUUUCAUCUACUCUUUGUGGCAUGGGAUUUGAAAAGUCUGUUGGUGGUCAUACUCUUUUCAUCAAGAGCAAGAAUGGUGUCUUCCUCGGAGUAUUGGUAUACGUAGAUGAUAUUCUUAUUGUUGGGAAUAAUGAUGAUUUGGUGCAUGCUUUUAAGGAAGAGUUAGCUUCUCAUUUUAAGCUCAGAGAUCUUGGCACGGCAAAGUAUUUUCUGGGUCUGGAAAUUGCAAGAUCGAAACAGGGCAUUUCCAUAUGUCAAAGGAAAUACACUUUGGAGCUGUUGGCAAAGACUGGAUUCUUAGCCUGCAAACCAUCCACCAUUCCGAUGGAUCCUAGCAUCAAAUUGUCCAAAGACAAAGGUAUACCUCUCGAUGACCCUAUUUCCUUUAGGAAACUGAUGGGGAAGCUUAUGUAUCUCCAGAUUACACGACCUGACAUUUCUUAUGUGGUCAAUACAUUGUGUCAAUUCUCUCAUGAUCCACGCGAUCUUCAUCUCACGGCGGCUCACAAAGUUCUCCGUUAUUUGAAAGGCACA
rnacentral:lncRNA from 1 species